UCAAGUGAGAGGUGAGACAAAGUCCAUUGCAACUUUGAUGCAUGACUGGAUAAAGGAAAAAUGAUCUAAUUAUGAAGUGUAAAUGUACACAGAAGCUUAUUUGAAAGUUAUUAAAGUACUUCCACAGUUCCACCGCAAUACAUCCACUAAAUGAGUAGUAGGUAGCAUCAGCACUUGUGCCAUAUAGAUUUAUAGUGGUGAGCUGCAUCUUAAGGUGAUGUAAAAAAAGAAAAAAACCAAUCUUUACUCGGUUAGUUAGCUUUCAGUAGGCAUAAGCAUACAAUGAUAGUCANNNNNNNNNNNNNNNNNNNNAAAAAAAAANAAAAAAAAAAAAAAAACCCUAAAAAUCUUAUACACUUGAGCAUUCUAAACAAGGAAUAGUUACUGCAGAAGUUACAUCUUUCUUAUCACAAAAAAAGAUUUUCUUAUUACAAUUGUUUUUUAACUUUUACUGGAAAACUGGAUACAGUUUUGACCCUUAAUUCCAUCAAUUAUGUAAGACAUCCAUAGCCGAUUGUUUAAUCAUAGGCCUAAUGACCUUAAUUCCAGAAAUCCACUAAAUAUAUUGAAUACCCCAAUCAAUAGUGAUGCUGGUGCAUAGAACUGUCAACACCCAAAAUUUAUGAAGCUAUCCUGGGACAUAGCCAUGAUAGAGACCAUAAACAUGAACAAUGAUUGCCUUGAAUGGUUGAUUUUAGGUAGUUUAGGACAAUUAGCAACCACAUAACCAAAAUUUGUAGCAGAUAUCUUUGUAUUCAUUCAACUAUAACAUUGUUUUGUUUCAAGAACAUUAUUAUUAUUUUUUUUAAAGAAACAAUUUAUUGAGACAAAAGCAAAGAACAAGAAGGUGGACACAUGAUUGCAGAUGCUUUGGCUAAAAACAGUGUGCUUCAUGAAUUAAGCCUGAUUGUUUUUGACAAUCCUCCAGCCUAUGCUGCUCAAUCAUUUCUUGAUGAUCUUGCUGCUGUAACAAGAGCUAGGAGAGUCUCCUGCUCUAGUAGUUAGUUUUCUUGUUUUCUUUGGUUAGGCCUUUUAGGCCUCGCUUGUAACCAAAAAAAAAAAGAAACAAGAAGGCGGACAAGGAGUCCAUUGGUUCAAUAACAUUAGCUCAAAGAUCAAGUGAAUGGUGUGACACUAUCCCAGGAAAGAUUCUUUACACCAAUUGACAAUAAAAAUCAACCUAAAACCCAAAAAUAAAGAAAAUUAAACAAUUUGAUACUUAUCAAGUUACCUUCAAGUUCCUGACUUGAUGCAGACAUCCUGCAGGAAAAAAGACAGCAUUCCCAAGUUUUUGAAUGAAGGUCCACGGCACAUCCUAUUUACUGUAUCAAAAGAUUAGAUAUAUAGUUGAAUUCAGAUGAAUUCUAAAUUUGAAACUGAUUACACAAAAAGAUUGAUUGAGAAUAGGAAUAGAAUAUCUUAAGUCAGGAUUUUAUGAUUUCUUUCUUAUUUUGGAUUUGUUUUGUUAUUAGGGAAUCUUUAAAGUUCCAGAAUAUUAGGGUUACUUGAUCCUAAUUGAUCUAGGGUUUUAAUGUCUCUAUACAUAGAGGUCUUUUGUAGUCUUUUGUUUUCAGAGUUGAAUUAAUAAAAAAAAGUUUGAGAGCUUUGCUUCCUUUCCAGGUUUGUGUGAUGCAACCUAAUCUUAGGUGUGAUGCCUAAGAUCUCUAGGUGUGAUGCCUAGAAACCUACUGGUGUGAUGCUAGUAGACCUAUCCCUUUCUUAAUUCUGUUCUUUAUAGUUGAAUUCAGAUGAAUUCUAAAUUUGAAACGGAUUUCACGAGAAGAUGUAGCAAGCGAACCAUAUUUCUCUUUAAGCUUCUUUUUGUGCUCCACUGUAAGAUAAAAUGUCCGAUUGUGUAUGGGAUGGAUAACCUAUAUACCACCAUAGAAAAAGUUAAAGAUUAUCUUUCAAAAUAAAAUAUGUGUACACAGAAAAAGAAGGAUAUCAAGGGAAGGAGAAUUUGGCACUCCACUUUUAACUUCAUAGAAGUAGAGUGCAAGUGAUAGUAAUAAUGUAAAAGUAAAAAACUAGUUACCCUGUUAUUUAUGUAUCAAUGCAAAAACUGGAUUGAUAAUGAGUUUACCUGCUGCAAUGGGCAACAGUGUAUGUGCCUGAAUUUCUUUGAAAUGCUUCAUGAGAUACUCCUGCAACUUAGGAAUAUCAUGUCGACGUAAUGUGUCCCAUAAAGCACCUCCUUCAGUGACAUCUGACACUUACAACUUAUUUCCAUAAUUUCUUGCAGGCAAUUCACCACUGAUAUCAAGAUCUAAUUCUGCCUCUUCAUUCUUUUCAGAUUAAGGUCCCAUUGAAGCAUCUCCAACAUGUGGAAUAAUUGGAUCAACUAGUAUUUACACACACAUUAACAUAAAUGUAUACAGUUUCCUUAUAGCAUGGACUUUGCAUAACUCACUGUGCUAUAAAUUAAAUGUAUUCUCGAACCAAUGUUGAUCUCCUGAUGCGUCUAACUAAUCGAUCAAAAAGAGGGAAGGAAAACCCUGAGAAUUUCCACCAGAGUUUACAUUCCUUUUCCAUGCUUCUACUUCUGCUUCUGCACGGCAUCAUUUAAACCUAAAUUUUUAUCAUAUCCCAAGAUCAAAUGAUGGAGCACUGUCAAGGGUAGGAUUUUCUGGGUUUAACUGAGGAAUCAUCUGUGGUUUCUGCACUGGCAAUUCUGAUUUCUGCUUAAGUAGCAUUGUAGCUUGUGCUUCCAAUGCGUCAAGAUCAAGGCCCUCAUAAAACUGAUCAUCAUAAAGCACGUCCUCAUCUGCAUUACUGUGCUGCAUAUAUCUGGCUUCAGCCUCUGCUUGCAACGAGAAUUCUAGCUCCAAGUUGACAACAGGAAUAGAUCUUGGAUGAUGAAAAUUCGAUUUUCUUUUUCGACUUUCACUAUCUCUUUCAUAUCCUGGAGAAAUACCAGUCGUACAAGGUCUGGCUUCAGAGUUCCAAUUCAUGUGGAAGGACUCUGAAUCUGGUCCAAUUGGCAGAUUUGUACAGUCAAUUUGAGGAGUCUGAAGUGAGGAAGAUGUUUUCCCACCAGAACUUCCAGUUUCCGGGGUCCUCGUUAUUGUUGCCACAGAAUUGGGUGAAAAUGUGGCUGAGCUGCGUGGCUGCCUCUCCAUGGGUGAUUGAGUGAGCAAUGAACGCCUGUAGAAAAGACACUAGUUAUAUUUCUUGACGUUUUAGAAAUAAAACGCCAGAGUUGGGAGCAAAUGCAUCAUCCAUGGGUAAUGUAAUAAUGAAGGUUACAGCAAUUAGAUGAGAAGUAGAAUGGCAAAGAAUUAUGAACAAACUGAAUCUAAGAAACCAAAUUGAUGGCACCCUUAAGGUAAAAUGUAUGAAGGAGAAGGGGCCUACUGUGCCAGGCCACCUUUACUCUCACUUCAUCGCAGAACUUGGAAAACGUUUUGCAACAAAUGCCAGCUUAACUAACCAAAGACAAGAAUCUACUUUAAUUGAACCCUGUAUCUCAACUGAAGUGAAGAGAGAGAGAGACCUGUAUACUGCCAUCAUGUCAAUUCCACUGGUUGCAGCCUGAGUAUUUGCAGUUGUACAAUUUAUCCUGUCAUCUAUGAAGCUAUCAUUUGAAUGGUAAUCUGUUUCAUCUACUUCAUCAUCAGAUAUAUCAACCUCUGAAGAUACCCUGAGCAAUUUGGUGAAAUAACAUAAUUUUAAAUAUUACUUUCACGAGAAGCUUCAUCUUAUUCGCAAAAUAAAAUUAUGCUUAUAAACCGAAAAUUAUGCAACUUCACAAAUUAAGUUUAACUGCAUGUUACAUAAUAUAGUAUACAAGUAUUCUCUUACUCAGCUUCCUCGUCUAUGAAUUCCCUCACAUCAUCAACUGACUUCUUUGCUAGUAUUUUGGAACCUAUAUUACAACAGAUAUCAUGUAUGAGUAAAUAGGUCACAUAAGCAUCAGGAUUUCAAAAGUAUAAAUGAUAAAGAAACAAUCCAUUGAAAAGACACAAUAAUCCAGAUGCAUCUCAACUAAUAUUCAAUAUACCUCUACGAUGCUUAGUAGGGAGAGUACUACUUGUAAAAGAUCUGGUAAGAUUUGCUCUUGGGACAUCAUUAGUUGCCAUGCUUUCCUGAUUCCUAAUGUUCCACUGAUCCCCAACUUUGCGCAACCUCUUAAACUUGCGUGCCUGUUUCACACUCUGUGACCUGUCUCCAGAACCUAUACACCAAUCUUUGCUACAGCUACUGUUUGUAAGGUCUGCUAGAACAUUUGGGCCUCUGUCAUUAACCGGUGAUAUGGAGGUAGAUUCAUUUAUACUGGCACUAUUCCUAUUGUGCAAGGGAGAUUGAAUUUCAUUAUCAGUGGGAAGAAGAGACGUAUUUCUUUCACAUGCAUUGGUAUCCAUGUCAGUGGCUUUUUCAUUGUCCCCAGGACUUGAAGAAUUCAAUACCAGUUCAGUAGGUAGUUGGGCAGGCGAAACAGCGUCAGGAACCACAUACUUAUUUAUGGUAUCCAUUAGUCCUGCAUCAUUUACAUGUAUGUCAAUACAGAUAAUACCAAGCUAAUGGGGAGAUUAUCUAAAUCUGAAUUGAGAUAAAAUCUUAUUAAUUGCAGGUAAGAAUACCAACCAUUAUUAUUGAUAGGAGAUUCUGGAACAAAUCCACUUUCGAUCAAAUUAGUAAGCCUCGGACUAAGCUCACCAUCUCUGACAAGAUUGUCCUCUUCAUCAGCCAGCAAUGACGGUGCCUUGCUUUUUAGAACAUCAGGCGUCUCACAAGCACUAUCUCCAUUUGGAAAGUGUUCUCUGAGAAUUGGCUUUUGAGGAUUCUCUUCAUCCCCAUUUAUUGUUGUCUCCAUCCAGGUUUCAGAUUCACACAAUCUAGACCAAGGUGGAGUAUCAUUCCUUAUAUAUGUUGUCUGAGCCAUUUCUAGAUCUCCAGUAAUCUUUCCUCCAGCAGUUUCUUCUGUUUGUUCAUCUGAAGUUCUUACAUGGCAAGAACUUUGCUUCAAACUAUCCAACUUACUACUCCUUGAACUUGUAAACUUGGAAUUUAGCAUACUUUUGCCAGGAAGAAUAGGGACAGAUAAGAUAAGGACCUUUCCAGAAGCAUCAACAUCUACAACAUGCGAACCAAAGAGAAAAGAGUGACCGCAAGGAUCAUCAGAUAAAUCAUGUUUGUUAUGCUUCUCCUUGGUUUUCAAUGUCCCAGUAGUUUGUAGUUCGGAAUCCGGUACUUCUCCAUGUGGCUGUUUCAUUGAAGAAUCAUCAAGAUUCAACAUAUCUGCAAUAAAACAUUUGAAGAUUAAAAUGGAUGCAAACCAGAUUAAUCAAGGAAAAAAAAAAAGUAGUUAAUUGUUUUGUUCUGAUGCAUGUUAAACUUGAGUAUGCACGUAUCUGUCGUAUCAGUUCAAUAUCAUCAUAAUAGACCAGGAAAUAGCUGGAAGAAAUGCUCUUCUAUUACGAUUAAAGGGUAUGAAUCUUUUCAUGAAUAAUGGUAUAUGUCCAUUAGAAUUGACACUCGAUAUGAGAUACAUUUUCUUUUUGGCAAACAAAGCCCAAAUUUUGAGAUCUCAAUAAUCAUUGGCUGAAUGACUUACAGAUUCAGGCCGCAGAAGCAUACUUGAGAGUACAAACACAAAGGUAUAUUCAUGCUUGUAUUGCACAUACUGAUUAACUGUUCAAAUAUUAGGUGUAGUCUAGGCCUUUCUAAUGUUUUAGUUAAUUGCUUGAGUCCACUCUAAGACAUAACCCACAUCACGGGAAGUGGUAAUAUUUUUAAUAUUAGCAGAGAAAGAGAAGCACACAAAAGAUAAUCAAAAUAAAGUUGAAGAGGUACAAGCAUAAACAGGACCCAAAUUUCUGACAAUAUUUAGCUGGCAACUGGUAAUUCAACAAUAAGAGCACUUAAAAUAAUAUAAUAGAGAAAGGAUUAACAUUUGAUUCAAUCAAGAAAGAGAAGCACACAGAAGAAAAUCAAAAUAAAGUUGAAGAGGCACAAGCAUAAACAGGACCUAGAUUUCUGACAAUAUUUAGCUAGCAACUGGUAAGUCAACAAUAAGAACACUUAAAAAGAAUAUAAUAGAGAAAGGAUUACCAUUUGCUAACUUAGGAGUUCAAAAUGAGAAUCUAAAAUGAUAAGAAAGGAAAUGUAAAUACAUUUUCCACUGAAUUAGGAUUUUCAGCUUUCUGGAUUUUUAAACUAUCUAUCAAGUUAAGCUAUAAACAGUAGAGAUAAAUGGUCACUUAUCUCAGGUGGAUGUUACGAGAAAUUAAAAGUAAAAUAACAUAUAUAUUAGACAUCAAGCUAGAGAAGCUCCACUAACGUAGAAGUUUAAUGCAGGACUAAAGUUACCAUGAAUCUCUGUUUAUUACAAACUUUACUGUAGAAAGUAUCUUCCCUUGGUAUUAAACUACUGGUCUGCAGUAAUCUGAAUAAUUUCUUAAAAUAUUCUUCUUGGAAUAUCCUUUUGACCUACCUUCUCUGUUGUCAUGCUGUUCGAGAGUGUCAACUUCCAAGCACUUCUCUGAACAGACAUCAUCCUGAUAGCAUUAAGUAAUACAUAAGUACAGAGAAUAAAAUAUAACAAGAGAAAAUCUGAACCCAGUUCAUGGUAUCAAACCUCAAUGAAGGAAGUUUUUCUGUCACUGGAAAAGGAUAAUCCUUGCAAAGAUUGCAUCAUAUCAAUUAACAUUGUUGUUCGAAGUGAGUGCAUUACUUUAUGCACUCUUGAGGGAUAGGUUUGGAAGUGAGGAAAGGCAAUAAGAGAUGGUUUCCAUAUUAUGUCAUGUGGCUGGAAAUACUUGGUAACUAAACUAGUUUCAGCAACAGUUAAUUUCUCUAUAGUUACAGGUGUCUGAGUAUCAGUAUCAUCAUUGACUUUCUUUCCAGGACGAACGAAUUGUUCAAUUGAAAACUCAACAUGUUGGACUUCAGGUUUGAAAAUGUGAGGGAUCUACAAGAAAAACGAGACAAUCAAUAAGUCUGAAAGGUGAUGGUACAGUAUUAUUAAAAAAAAAAAACCAAAUGCAGUCUCUCUUAGAAAAUCUCACCAUCCUUGGACUAGAAUGAAAAUUGAAGCUAUUUCUUCCCCCAUUUCGCAUGUGUUUGCUCACAUUCUUGCUAUUUGUUAGCUUCCGAUUGUAACCUUUCAACUCUUCUCCUUCACAGGCUAAAACUAGUAGCCCUUGUCAAGGAUUUAAAGAUGCAUUGAACACAAAGGGAACGUAUUGGAAUAAAUAAAAACAUAUAUACAAGCUUGGUGAGAGUGGGAGAACAAAGAAGACAUUGCGUUAAAUAUGAUGCAGAUUACAUGUAUUCAUAACUCAAGAAAAGGAUAUCUACUCGUCCAUCAUGCUUCCUUCCGGUUCUUCCCAUGCGUUGAAUCAUCCUCAAUGGUGAUACAUUUGCAUCAAAGCAUAUAACAAGAUCAACUUCCAUGAUAUCCAAACCUUCUUCACCAAUUGAUGUGGCAACAAUGACAUUGUAUCCACCAGCACGAAAUUUCUGUGGGAGAAUUUGAGUUAGCCAAAGCAAGGUGCUUGGAAAAGGCAGGGAAGAGAAGCCUAGUUACCUCCAACACAGCUUGUUGAACUUUUUGUGACUGGCCUUUUAAUAUUUUCCCUGUUAGAACUAUAGUCAGUAGAAUUCACAAGCAGAAACCAUACCAAAUAUAAUUUCUAAGCAACUAUUGAAGCCCAAAAGCUUAAACUAUUAGGGAUUCAGCAAUGUGUAUUGAGCUUACAAACUCCCUUACUUGCAAAUGCAGCCAUAGCUGGCAGGUACACAGGGCAGAAAAAUGCAGAGAGUGAAAAAAAUAUAGAGGUCGCCUGAUGGAGCAGCCAUAAGCUGGCUGGAAAUAUCAUCUUUGGAAGCCAAAGACUAAGCCCAACCUUUUUUGGUCUAAAGGGGUCCCUUUUAUUAGUUUCAUGGUAUUCUAGGAAUGUGUAGUUGAAGCCUAUAAAUAUGGCUUUCUAAUGUAAUCCCAAGUUCAGAUUGGAAUGAAUUGAGAUUUUAUCUUAUUGAAGUCUUGGCCUUGUUUCUUUCCUCUCCCCUGGCCUCCCUCAUUCUAUUUCUCCUUCUACAGCUAGGAAACCUCUGUUUCUUCUAAAACCCUUCUGUUCUCUUAACUCUCAACAUUCUCCAGCCCACCCUAUUCAUUCUCUCACCGACUGUUGCUCUCUCCUGCAUCAUCGCCUUCCACACAUAAAUGUGGGAAAGUGUAUUGGAGGUCUUAAACUCAGAAGUCCAUACAAUCAGAGCGCUGAUAAAUGAACAACUAGAGCCCACCAAAAUCUUAAGCUAGAGAACACUGACAAUGUAUGUCAAGCACACAAUAAUUAUCAGCUACCAAACACCAAUGAUUAUGGUCUAGACUUAUUGAUAAAAGCAUGGAUACACUCAAAUCCACCCAUCAACUAGAAAUACUGCUGUCUAUACACUGACCAGUUCUCCUUACUAUUUUGCAUUUUUUUCCUUGGGCCUAAUUUAUUCAGGAAAGAGCCAACAGUUGAUAUCUAGCUAAUAAUGAAUAUUAGCUACCUGAUAGAUUAUAGUUCAAACUAACAUGGAUACCAACGAAAUCAUCCCACCCAUCUACUCACACAGUUUUCCAUGGAUAAACAUAGUUCUGUUUCACAAUCAUUUUACAUGUUCCCCUAGAACCUGUUGAAUGCAUCAUCAUGUAUUCUGUACAUUGGCAUAGCUGAUCCCAGAUAAUACAUGAAACUUCAAUGACUUCGACAAAUUAAAAUGUAAAGCUUUCAUUUUCUUCAAUAUCUAGUUUGCAAAAGCACCAACUAUCACUUCAUGUAACAACAACUGCAUCUUUUAAAGAUUUAAUAUAGGAAUAAAGAAUGAGCUUCAAACCUGAACUUUGACCAAUAAACUCUGUAGCUCUAACUAAAUUGCCGAUGUGUGCCAACGCAUCCAUUAUGGCCCUGUGUGUUUCCAUCAUUAUAUCCAGGAAUUAACUUUCAAAUUAUAAAAUAUAUCCAUGUAAAUAAAAUAAGAUAAUAAAAUUAAAAGCAUCAUCAUCUAUAUUGAACAGAAAGUAUUUUCUGAUUUUCUCUUACCUGACACUUCCCCUGAAGUUUGAGAAAAUCAUGACCCUCGAGUUCUGUGGAUCUUUCGUUUCUGCAAUUAGAUUACAACUAUCAGUCAAAUUGAGCUAACAACACUUUCAUCCAUACAAGUUCACAAUUAAAAGGCUGAUAUUGCCCAAGAGGCUCACAUUCAUGGAAUAAAACUAUAAAUCAACUUCUCAGAAAUUUUGGCGAAUCAUUAUCAACAAAUAUAAUUCACAAAUUGAAAAUAAAUCAGUGCAACUGCAGUGCAUUCAUGGAAAGUUAAAAUACAACCUGCUUAAUUUUAGAUUGUGGGAUUCCAGUUCUGAAUGCUCAAAGCAAGAACUAAACUACUUCCUUAUGCAACAGUAAGACCAGCAUUUCAUGAAAAUUUAUAAGAAAAUUAAGAUAACAGGCUACUUACUGAAAUGAUCACGCAGUACGUCUAACAUUUUGGAUAAUUUGGGACUCGGAGCACCAUGAGACAGACUUUGCUGCAUCCUUAGCUUUGCUUUAUGAACAUCUUCACUUCUACUCAUAUACUUAGCAAAACACCUGGAAAAGAACAUUUAAGCGAGCAACCUAUCAAUCUUGUGCGUGUUGAAAAGCUUCAACACCAUGUUUAAAGCGUAUCAAUUAUAAUAGACAUAGUACUCAUGUCUACACAAGAAAUUUAUGUCAUUCAACUCAAAUUUCAAAUACUGAAGUUCUAUUGGUGGAGUCAAAUACCAUCAUAAGAGAAUGGAGCAUUCGGCUUUCACCUAAAUGUAUUUAAACAGAAAAUAUGAUAUUACAAAAUGAUCUCCUCAAGAUUUUUCGACGUCAUAUUCAUUUGGAACUGUCUGAUUCCUGGAAAAUUAAACAGCAGUUCCUUUUAUAAAGAAGAACUUGUGACACCAUUUGCAAGCUUCCAUCCUAACGGUUCAAUUCUACUAUAAAGUGGUUCUCUCUCUGCUAAGAAAGCUGAUUCCUAUCGGGUUCGGUUGCUGAUUUUUUUAAAUUUCCCUCUCAACUUUGAUAUCAGCUACAGGAGCAGUGGACACUGGAUUUCUUUUAUGCACUUCUUUACAUGAGAUAAAAGUUUGUGUCUUCUAUAAGAAAAGCAACUAAAUAAGAAGGCAGCAAUAUAUAUAUAUGAGACCGGAUCAGAGGAGGACGUCCGCACGCCUUUAAAGUGCGGACGUCCCUCCGUUUGCCACCGUACGGCUCCGACGACGGCGCGCCUCCACCCCAGCAGCGUCCCCGAUCACUUUCCCUCACCGGGGAGUCCGCCGAAUUCCAGUUUUCCGGCGAGAUUGACUUUAUUUGAAGUUUUGGGUGAUCUUGCCGGCAAACUAGAAAAGAACGGACUCACCGGGAAGGGAAAGUGACNNNNNNNNNNNNNNNNNNNNNNNNNNNNNNNNNNNNNNNNNNNNNNNNNNNNNNNNNNNNNNNNNNNNNNNNNNNNNNNNNNNNNNNNNNNNNNNNNNNNNNNNNNNNNNNNNNNNNNNNNNNNNNNNNNNNNNNNNNNNNNNNNNNNNNNNNNNNNNNNNNNNNNNNNNNNNNNNNNNNNNNNNNNNNNNNNNNNNNNNNNNNNNNNNNNNNNNNNNNNNNNNNNNNNNNNNNNNNNNNNNNNNNNNNNNNNNNNNNNNNNNNNNNNNNNNNNNNNNNNNNNNNNNNNNNNNNNNNNNGCCCUUGCUGGCGCCGUACGGUGGUGAACGGAGGGACGUCCGCACUUUAAGGGCGUGCGGACCUCCUCUGAUCCGGACUGUAUAUAUAUACGGAAACGAUGUGGAGCACACGUGCGCACGGAGCUCCAUUCCACCAUCCGGCGUCGGUGCGCCUCUCCCCCCCAGGGGACUCCAGCAGCGUACCCAAUCACUUUCCCUCCCCGGCGAGUCCGCCGAAUUCUAGUUUUCCGGCGAGAUCACUCAAAACUUCAAAUAAAGUCGAUCUUGCCGGAAACUGGAAUUCAGCGGACUCGCCGGGGAGGGAAAGUGAUCGGGAACGCUGAGGCGCGCCGUCGGCGCCGAACGGAGCUCCGUGCGCUCCAUAUCUGGCCUCCUAUAUAUAUAUUGACGAACUUUUAACAAGAAAUUCAAAUGCACGAGGGUCUUGCAUCAAAUAUUCAGCUAUUGACAAAUUCCUAACUAGAAGAGUCGUAUGAUGGUUCCAUAUCGGAUAUGCAGCCAUGGUUAUUGGGAUUUAUGGAAAAUGUUAUGAAAACAGUGACAGAAUGGAUGGUGCACAAGGACAUACCCCUGUUUUAACUUUUCUUCAAGCAGUUCAUGUGCUGGCCUUACUCCAUGUGCUGAUAAUAGCUUAAGAAUGUGGUAACCAGUAAGAAGAACUCCAUACCAACCUUCAAUUUCGCCUAAUUUAAAUGGCGGUAUGUCUGGAGGAGGUGCUGUACGAAAUUUAUCCCUACACGUAAGUAACUCGCCUGGGCUCCACUGCAGGAAACCCCAAAAUGGAAGAAAAAUAUUAAAUAAACCCAACAGAUGUGAUUGGAUCAUUGAAGUCUUGACCAAAAAUGGGGAAGUAUCCACCAAAUAAAAUAAAAAUACACACAUAAGGCGGUGAAUCCUAUAUAUCAACAAAAAUGGCAAUUUCUUGAAAAGCCUAUAUGUAAGUUAAAUCUAGAAGAACUUCGGAAACAAGCUUGUUCAAUAUUUUCUCAAAGCCAAAAUAAAUUGAAUUAUGACUUUCACCAAACCCAGUAAACUGCAACCAACAAUAAUAGAUUGGCAUGCAGCUGAUCAAAUUACUUGUAGUUUCACAGGAUAAAAAAUGCUAUAAAUUGGAAAAUAAUAUUUUAUUGGUAGGUGCAUUAUAUGUAUUACACAGUCAGCCCAUAACAUUGCCAAUGACCAAACAAUAAAGAAAAGAUUCCACCCAGCAGAGAAUAAGUUAACAACUUAACAUUGGAAGACUCUUAAACUAUACUGAACCAUACCGUUCGAGCAUCUCUAUUUGGGAGAGCUCCAGUCGCACUUAGCCUGGUUAAAUAUGGACGUAGAGCAUCAUAUAUCAUAUUACUUAUCUCCACAGCAUCUUGACCCAUAGCCACCUAUAAUUAUUGCAAAAUCAAAAUUAUUUCUCAGUACAAAAUGUUAUUCUAUAAAGACAGAUUACCAUACAUACCUUAAUCAACUCUACCUCCCUGUUGUGAACAUAAGGGGCAACAUCUGGGUCACUUUCAUCGCGGUAUUCAAGGGUUGAUAUACACAAGUUAUCAAUAAUUUGCUGAACAGUCUGCUGCUUAGCUGUAGUAUUGCAUAUGAGUUGUAUGUAAUGUUCAAUGUUAUUGUACGAAUUCAUAGAAACCCAGUAGAAAAUAGUUACUUACAUCCUGGUGUUGCGGUCAAUGCUACAAUUCUCAGUUGCACUUGUGCCGCCAUUAACUAUAAGUUUAAAUAUCAUUUAGUAUCGUCUGCUUUAAUAGCAAUUUGACACUGAACCAACAACUAUUUAGGUAGCCAUAAUAAGAUAAUAACAGACAAGAAUACCAAAAUAUCUGGAAAGAAGAAUCAAACUUAAUUGAUAGAUCAUAAAGUAAUAGAACAUACUUCACGAACUGCAACACUGGAAGCAUAGUUUCCUAAUGCUCGGUGAGCUUCAUCAAUCACCAAACAUACCAAGCAUUCGACUAAGCAUGCUCCUGCAACAAAGUACCUCGUAAGCAAUAUCCAAUGAUGAUAGAUCUAUUCAUAAGACAAACUGCAAACAUAUAAUAUAUUUAUACACCUUUCUCAAAUAUAUAUAUAUAUACAGCCCUUCUUGGCUGCAGACAUCCGCACCGAAAGUUUCGGUGUAGAUUUCCAUUUUUGCACCACUUUCCGAUCCAAUUUCCUCAUCUCCACCGUCUAGUAUCUAGAUAAUAUUGUGUAGAUCAUCUCUGCAAAAUUUCAGCCAAUUUGGUGAUCGUUAAGGCCCUCAAACUCGAGUUUUUCUGGUAUGAACACAACCGGACAGAAUUCAGUCCGUCCAUUUGUUUUUCGAGUUUGAGGGCCUUAACGAUUACCAAAUUAGCUGAAAUUUUGCAGAGAUGAUCUACACAAUAUUAUCUAGAUACUAGACGGUGGAGAUGAGAAAAUUCGAUCGAAAAGUGGUGCAAAAAUGGAAAUCCGCACCAAAAACUUUGGUGCGGACGUCCGCACCUGAGCAUUCCCAUAUAUAUAUAUAUAUAUAUAGUGAGUAUCAGGUGCGGAUGUCUGCACGGCUCUUAAAGUGCGGAUGUCCGUAUCUGAAACGCCUGUAUAUAUAUAAAUAUAUAUAUAUAUAUAUUUAUACACACAUCACACUCUCCCUCUGCCAGAUUCUAUAUUUGCAGCUGACAGACAGUUCAAGUGGCCUCUGUAUUAAAGGUUAUUCUUCCCGGAAUGGAGCUCAGGGCCAAAACAAGAAUGAAAAGUAAACUAAAACAUAUAGUAUUGAAAAAAUAGGGAAUCUGCAUCACAAAUAUUUAGCAACCUGCUAGACCAGCUGCCCAGCCACUUGAGCAGAAAAGUGCCCGAAGCUGGACAUUCUGACAGAGAAAUACUAUAUGUUCCGGACAUAAACAGCACCGGCAUAGUUUUCUCAUGAGUAAAAAAUAAAAAUAAAAAGAGCUAUCAUGUUGAUCAUUCUAUACAUACAAACUGGGUUCUGGACAUAGAGCACAGACUAAGAUUUUCUGAAUUAGAUUAGAAACAGAAACCCUAAACAAGGGAUGAGAAAAUAUAAAAAAAAAACUAAACUUUAUGAAGCAGCAAAUUCAAUCAGAAAGACUGCAGCUCCUUCUUCCACCAAUUGAACAGUACUUUCUUCCAUUUAUAUGCCUGUUCACUCUUCUCUAGUAUCACAAUAAACCUAGAACACACCUUCUCAUGAUGGUUUUGUAUUACAACAUGAGAAAAAUCUCACAUUCCACCAACAUAUCAUUAUAAAUAUUGCUAGCAUAUGGAUUAAAAAUUAAUCACCAGACUGAAUGUCCUUCUCCAGCACUUGUGGAGUAACGAAGAAAACUCGUUUAGUUUUCCAAAAGCAUGCUCUUUUUGUAGGACUUAUCUGACCCGUCAUAUCGAUUGUCCAUUCCUGCAAUCAGUUCGAUCAAAUCAUCUGAUAAAUGUUCUCAGUUUUAUGCAUUAAGCAAAGGUUUGUUAUAAAAAGGUUCUUACUUGUGGUAUUCCUACAAUAUUAUGGCAUGCUUCUAUUUGUUGUGUAACAAGUGGUCGAGAAGGAGCAGCAAAGACUAUCUUUCCUGUAGCGAAAAGAACAAUGUCAAUGUUCCAUAAUUCACAAAAUAGAUUCAAGACAUCAAAAUACAGAAAACUGGAAAAUAUGAAGCUUCAUGUAAAUCAAUCAAAGUACUUCUUAACUAAAACAGCGGAAGAAAAAAUUGUUUCAAGAAGAAUUCAAGACCAAGACAUCACAAAAGUUACUAUAGCAUCAUCUGAAUAAAAACAAAUGUGAGUUAUUUGGACGAGACCAGGACCAAAUGUGAUACCGAGACCAAGACCUUCACAUAACUUGCCAUAAUUUGACUAGGACCAUCACUACCCAAGCCCCUAACCUAUUUUUAUGAAGUGUAUAGUUCACUAAGCCAAGAUAUCAAAACUCCAGCUGUAGGAUAGAUAACUAGGUGAUGCAGGAGCUUGCACAUUAAUUAGUUAGGCAGAGAAGAUUAAAAAAUUAAUUAGUUAGGCACAGAAGCUUGCACAUUACUUAGUUAGGCUUCCUGAUGGCUUCUGUCGAUAAGAUUUGGUGCAACAUAUGUAAGAAAAAGCUACGUAUAAAUGAAACAGAGCUGGACGGAUUUUAAAUCAUUCAUGGUAGCAUAAAUGUUAGGAAGAAGCAAUUUUACAUUAAGAAAACAAUACACACUAAGCAUUAUGAUAUACAUCUUCCUAAGCAAUCACAUGUAGAAAGAGUGAAACUUUUUUAUGCAAUCAGACACUCAAGAAGCUUACAAAGACUGUUUGUUGAUCUCUGAAGUCUCAACAAGAUAAAUUAUUGCUGCUACCAAGGCCUUUCAAACAAGAGCAUUCUAAAUACCAGGGAUAUAAAAACUAAAGAAAAUAGAGAACAAAGGAAACUAGAUACAGGAAUCAUGACUGAAUCAACAAACAAGCCUUUGGAACAGCAAAUUUAGAACUUACCAAAACGCCAUUACCUUAUCAAAACUUAAGGAAACUUGGGUAAAACACAAAUAGAUAUGCCUAACUGUUGAAGAUGUUGUUGUUCUGGCCACAUCUUACUCUUUUCAUCCACAUGCCAAUGUUUCUUUACUUACAUGUGAGUAGCGAUACUGUUUAUAGCCUUCAUGGCCUUUCCAAUCAAAUUGCUACAUUCAGAAACUAAAUUAAGGCAUAAGCCAUUUAAAGCUGUCAAUCAAAGAUCUUCAGAGGUUCUCAUGUCAUCAGACACAUAGGCUGCAGUACUAGGUUCGACAGCCUCUUACUGUUUAGUCCUCGACUCCUCAUCAACAUCUAUAUAUAGUCAUCCUUGAGCUACAACAAGUAGCUUAAUAAAACAUACAACGCUAGCAGAUAAGCACUUAUUCAUUUUCUAAUAAAACAUACAACGAUAUCGUAUCUUCUAUUCAUGAUCCUUAUUCAUUUCUAGUAGCUCUCCUCAUCAAUGUCUUUGUCCUUUUGCUAGACACCUAUCCAUCACAUACACUCCACUACCUUAAGACCUAACCUCCAAAAAAAAAAUGAAUCAUCCAAUGCUGUUGAGGUUCAACAAAUGUGACAUCUAACCGCAUCAUGUUAAACACAAUAAAUAAAUAAAAGCAUGACAAUAGUAGCCAAAGAAGCAGUCAGUUAAGACGAAGCUUGUGAGCAAACUUACCCUCAGGGAACCAUCUGAAGUAGUUAUACAUAACAACUGCAGCAAUAAGCGUCUUCCCGAGUCCGGUUGGCAAUGCUACCAGCGUAUUCGAGAAGAGUGCUGUCUUGGUGAUAGCAAACUGAUAGUCACGCCCCGGAAAAUUAACUGCAAUCAUCACAACAACCAAAACAUUACUACCUCAAUCUCUAUAGUUCAUAACACCACCAAUUUCAAUAGAAAAAUAAUCAACCUAAAAAUCAAUAAGAGCAAGCCCAACCCUUAGUUCAUUACAAAUUUUCGGAGAGGGAGGUGAAUUCGAACCUGGGUAAAGCCAAGUUUGGGCUUUUUCGGCGUCAAUUUGAACACGGGGCGGUGUCUCAUCCUGGCCGGAAUCUCGAGUCUCCGGCUGAGGCUUUGGGGCGGGCUUCGCGAUGAAUCUGUCGAGAGUGGUCUGACGAGAAGUCGAGGGCUUUGGAGGAAACGGUGGUUUGUGAAUUGGAGGAGGGGCAGAAUGGGAAGUUGAGGGCCCGGCGGUGGUCUGGGUGAAGAAGACACUGGCAGCUGCUUCCCAAUCGAAACCGUCGUCGUCGUCGUCGUCGUCGAGAAUGUGAAGAGGAGCGGUGGAGGUCAUUGGGGGUAGCUGAGACUGAGAGAGAGAGAGAGUGGAAUGCGAUGUGGCGUUGUGAGAUGUGAAUAAAACCCCCACUUCAGAAAGGGCGGCAAACCCUCCCUCUUCCUUUUUAGUUUUUUUAUUUUUUUUCCCUUUCUUAUCUAUUACUGAAAAAUAAAUAACGAAUUAUAAAUGUGCUUACUGGUUUUGGUGAUUCUGGUACUGAUACUUUUAUUUAGGGAGUUAGUGCCGAUGGUUGUUUUUCUAUCAAAAGUGUUUAUAAUUCUCUAUUUGAUAUAUCUACUCCUCAUAAUCCUCGGUGGCAAGCAAUUUGGAAAUACAAUAUCCCUCCAAAAUUGAAGACUUUUAUGUGGUCUGUUCUUCAUAAGAAAAUCCUAACCAAUGUGCAAAGAGUUACUCGAGGUUUCACUUCUAAUGCUUCUUGUCCAAUUUGCUCUUCGGCUGAUGAAUCCCUUCUCCAUCUAUUCAGAGAUUGUCCCAGGUCUGCUAGCAUUUGGAGAUCUUUUCCUAAACCUGGUAAUAUUUCGAAUUCUUUUUCCUUAGAUUGGAAUGGUUGGAUUUAUGCUUAACUUCAUUGUCAUGCUGCUGUUGAAAAUGAUGUUAAAUGGUGCAAUCUAUUUGUUUUCAUCUGUUGGUUCAUUUGGAAAUGCAGAAACAAGCAAGUUUUUUAUCCCUCUUUUUUCAUGACUAUUUGUUUUAAGAAAGUAAUUUGGGAUUAUGCUUUAGAGUGGAAAAAAGCACAGAAUAGAGCUAAGGCUGAUUCUAUGUAUAGCUAUUCCAUGUUAUCUUGGAAGAUGCCUCUCUUAAAUUUCUUCAAGUUAAAUAUUGAUGGUACUAGAGCUACUGCUUCUGGGAAGAUUGGUGCAGGUGGAGUGAUUAGAAAUCAUGCUGGUACUUGGAUUAUUGGUUUUCAGAUUAAUUUGGGAGUUGGUGAAAUCCUUACUGCUGAAGCAUGGGGCUUAUUUUAUGGUUUGAAGCUUGUUGUUAAGCUGCAGAUUUCAAACUUGGAAGUUGAAUCAGAUUCUGCAAUUCUGGUCAAUUUUGAUACAAAGUUCUAAUCUGGCUCUCCAUCCUUUAGGCUCCCUCCUUGAUGGUUGUUGCAAGCUCAUGUCUAGAAUGGAAAAUGCUAAGCUCAGCCAUAUUUUUCGUGAAUCUAAUAUGACUGCUGAUGCUUUGGCAAAGAGUAGUAUCUCCCAUGAUUUGGGCUUCAUAAGCUUUGAAGACCCCCUUGUGCAUGCUACACAAGCCUUUCUUGAUGAUUUGAGUUAUACCGUUAGAGCUAGAAGAUCUGCUUCAUGCUUUAAUAUUUAGUUGUUGGUUUUUUGUUUGAGCUCAUUUGAGUUCCGUUUGUAACAAAACAAAAAAACAAAUAACGAAAGUAUAAAACAAAUUUUCGAGAAACUCCUCUUCCUAGAGGAGAAUAAACAAAAUGCUCUAACUAAGGUUACAACUCUAUCUCAGCAACAAAAUUUGCUUUCCUGUAUAAAUAUGACAAAAGAUGAGAUUUGGCAAGAGGAAGCAAGACGUAAUAUAUCUAAAACAAGGGACUUCAAACACCAAGGUGUAGUAGCUUUUCCCAUCAAGCAAUCAAUAAGCACCUUGGAAUCACACCAAGGUAAACAAGGAGUAGCAGAGUUUUGAAGAACAAAGUUAAAAUAAUGAAAAUUUGAGGCAAAAGUGAUUUCCUGAUUGUAACAAUGAUUAACAUUUGCUAGAACAUUUCAAAAAAUCAUUCAUUUUAUGCUUCGCUUUCCUUCUUUUUUAAUGGGGGCUGGUCCGGUUGGUCUCAAGCCUUAAUUAAUGAAAUUGCAUAAUAAAUGAGGGGUGACGUAGAGCCUGGACCACAUACAGUAUUAUAAUAAGCAUAAAGAGAGAAUCAUAAAAUAAUACCAAGAUUCUCCAUAUUACAUAAGUAUUCUAACAACCACCAGCAAAAAGUGCAUCAGUGGCUACUCCAUUUGCUUUGUCACCACAGGUCAUUGUGGUGUCAUAAUAGAAAGAUCACCAUAUAUAUAAUACUUAUUCUAUUUUAAAUGUGUCUCAGUUAUCUUAUUCUAUCAAUAUUAUAUUAAUAUAAUGGUACAAAAAAAAUCUAUACUGGUAGGUCAGAGCAUCUUAUCAAUGCUAGCCAUUUUGGAGUCAAAUUUUAACCAAAAAGCUAAAAAGUCAUUUUGGCUAGUCAUACUUGAAAAAGAAAAAGCAACAAGCCUCCCUAAGUAAUAAUAAUUCCCCCACAACGAUUACUCAUAUUUUGAUAUCUUUUCAUGAUAGUUUCAUUAUCAACACCAUCAAAUAUAUUUUUCUUUUUUUAAGAAAAUAGAUAAUUUUAUUAAUUUAUCCACGGCCAGAAGACGCUUACAUUAGUUUGCAUACUUGCGACCAAUCAGUCUUACUAGCAACAAGCACUAAUAAAGAGACAGGUAGCCCUCAUUACAAAUGCGCUCAAUUAAGCCUAUCACAUCUAAUUUCCAACUAAACCUAUCUAAAUUCCAUGUAGCGGUAAUACGAGUAGCCUACGGACCUCAAUUGGUGUACAACAAAGUAAUACCAAAUCUAAACAAGAAAUAGUUUUCCAUUAGAUGUCUACGUAAAAAACAAGGAAGUUAAACUAUCUCCUUACCCUCAUUAGUAGGGCUAGCCUCUCUCGAUCAGACCUCGAGGAUGUCAUGCGAGACGGAGUAAAUAAUUUAUGGAAACGCUUUGGCUCAGGUCCACCAAAAAUCUUGCAUAAAAGAAUAAGCCCAAAUCUAGGUCCAAAACCCAGAUCCAAGCCUAUACUUUAGCAGCACCAAUCCCUUCUCUCUUCCAGGCCAACAACGCCUCUCUUGCCGGCCACUAUCUACGAAAUUCCGGCGGCCAUACCUUCAGGUACAUGACAACAUCUGUUGCCGCUGCUGGGGACUAGUGCCCAGACCCACUCAAUCUCACCACGAUGUUAGGCCGUGGCUGGUCAGCUGUCACCACAACCAACUACAAUCCGAUGUUGUUGAGUUCAGGGACGACGCCAUCCAAGGGUAGCACCAUUGAAGCCUUAAAUCAAAUUAUAGUAAUAGGGUCCUCUAAAUUAUGUAGGGAUCUAAGAAGAGUGCUGAGGGAAUGACGAAAGGGAGAAGCUGGGAUGGAGGAGAUGGAGUGGAGGAGACGGGUGCUAGGGUUUGAGGCUGUGCUAGAAUGCUAGGGUGAGAGAAAACUCUCCUAAUUUCUCUGAGCAGAGCUGAGCCGAGCCUUGAAAAGCUAGAAGACUGUUUGAUUAUGACAUUUAGUAUCAAAUAUAUCUUUCUUGAUAUAUGUAAUGUAAAAAAAUACUCUUUCUAUAACGGCAGUUACAAUUAAAAGAAUUAGUGUCAAUGUUAUAAGCAAGUAAACUAAUGGAUAAACUUGGUUUUUCUGUGUCUCAACUAUUUUUUCUCCAAGCCCACUAAUUCAUUUCAGUUCUUUAAACAUAUUAUUGCUAAAGUCCUAAAUGACACUUCAAAAAGCUCUCUAAAGUUCCCUUGGUUCUUUGAAUCAUCAAAUUUAUCAUGAUCGACCACGAAAUGGCAACCCUUAUUGGGAAGAAACCGAGCACAAUCAAGUGAUACAUUUAAACGAGUGCAAUAGUUAAUCCGAUUUUAUUGUUUGGUUCACCAAAACUAUAUCAACAUGUUGUCGUUGAUUUAAUAAAACUUCGCACAUUCUUCUACCAUUUUGUUCAGCACUAUUGGUCCCUCAAACAUGUUGUUUAAGCUCUUUUUUUUUUUUCUACUAACAACAGUAUAUACCACGUGUUUGGUCUCCAAUAUCUUGUUUAAAAAGAUAAUGGUGCAAACAAUAUGCAACAUCAUUUUCUAUAUAUACUAUACUACAUCUAACUAUAACGAUCAUUGAACCAUGUAUCUUUAAACCUAAUGUUUUUUUUUUGAAAGAAGGUCUGGUGCGGGUGCUCUCAAGUUUUGAUUAAUGAAAUUGUCGAAUACAAAAAUUUGGGAAAGGGGGGGGGGGGGGGGGGGUUGGGGGGGGGGUGGUAAUGAGCUUAAACCCUUGAUCUUUAAACCUUAUGCUAAUACCCCUGAAUUCCGUCUGCGAAAAUUUAUAGUUUUUUCAUUGACAAAGAGCUUGCAUCAAAUUAUGUUUUCGCACUUGAUCUUGAACAUUAUUAUGGUAUUUUAAAGUUGUUGUUCGAAGUUCUGGAUCUCAAGGAAGGCCUUCUAUGUUAAACUCGUUAAAUAAAUAUUUUGAUGUACCAAUAUCUUCAGAUGCACUACUUGUCUAAUGGGAGCGGGUGUUAGUCGAUUUGUCAAGUUCAAUUCUUCUGUAUGAUAUUUUAAACUACCUUCAUUGGAUCUAUUUCUUAUUUGAUUAAAAUAUGAAGGUUUUGACUUGCUGUUUGUAGGGAGAAAUGUAAAUUACGAAAUUAUAGUCUUAGGAAUCCAUACACAAAAAAAUAUCAACAAACUUCCAAAACAAAAUAUAAACAUGUUUAAGCAUAGGAAAAAUCUCAAACAACAACUUGUGAUUCCUUUGGAACUUCGAGAUCAACAACCUAUUCAACAAAAUUGCAAAAGUAGUAAAAAGACAAGAACAAUAGUUUAACAAUAACAUAUAAAUAAGCUAAUAAGACAUUCAAUCAAUUAUGAACCCUAACUUUUGCUCAAAAUCCUUAAUUUUAGUUUAUUGAAUACUUACGAGAUAGAGAUGAAGAAUGAAAGACUAAUUUAAUUGACGAAGUGGCGAGAAAUGGGUUGAUCGGGUGGAAAAGAAAUUGGAGAACUCGCUGCUGCGAGACAAACUCUUGGACGGUGAAAAAGAAGACGAAACAAAAAACAGAAAGAGCUACCGAGCGACAACUGUUGUCUCUCUUCUUAUUAGGACGUCAACCCAAAAUAUAUAAUUACCUAUAAAAUAGUCAAUAACUAUAAUGACUACAUGUAAGAAUUUUUUUUCUCCCAAAAAAAUUGGGUGGGACUUCAGCCCUACAAACAUCAAGUCAAAACCUUGCAUGAUAAAACAGCAAGCUCCUUAAACACACAACAAGAAUUAGAUUGUUGAUACUUGGAAGUAUGAAAACUUUUUAGAUGAACACACAACAAGAACUACGAAAGAUGUAAUGCUCGGUUCACAUACCCUCGUAUCUUGAAAUCAUUGAUGUCAAUAUUCACACAUCGUAGAAAUGUAUCUAAAAUUCUCUCAUUGCAGCAAGAUCAGGUGUUACGUACAUGUAAAACAUAAGGACAUAAGGACUAGCCUCCUCAACAUGCUCAUAAAUCUUUGAAGCAUUUUCCAGGGUCUCGCAUACUAGCCUAUGAAAGUAAAUGUUAGUACUAUUAUCCACAUGUAUCUAGGCGACGCGGUGACAAUAUUUAAUAUGUCCAUAUGAUCUGUUCAAAUUAACAAUAACGUUUAACUUAGAGGUCUAUAAACUAUAUAUAUAAACACAAUUAGAUAUGUUGCAUAUAAAUUCUUACCUGAAAUAAUCACGAAUAUAUCUUCAACACACACAAGUUCUCCUAUUUUGGCACGGUCGAAUACCAUGAAUAAAAUGUUUUCUUCUUUGUAACGAUGAUAAUACAUGUUUAAGACGUCAUAUAUCAUCACUAAGGCUAAUCCUGUGGCAGACACAUGAUACAUUGGAUAGAAUGAUACAAACACGUAUAUAUAAGACCCACAAAGAAUAAAAAAAGAAGUGUUGCAAGUGGAAUUGUUACCUCGCAAAGGUCCACCACUAGCAAGAUCCUGAAAUGUAGAGUCAAAUAGGCAUGUGUGAUAAAGUCGAGAGAAUCCUCAAAAGACAUGUCAAAAUCGUACUCGGCUACAACAUUGAUGUAAAAAACAAAAAAAUAAAAAUGAAUUGAUCAUGCUUAUGUGUUAAGUAUUAGAAGAAGCACAUACCUCGAGCCCAUGACUUCCCCAUCAAUGUUUAUAGCAUGGAUAUUACCUGAUCCAAGUGAGAGAAAUUGAUUGUCCUUUGUUUCCACCACUUAUCACCAUCUACGUAUACGCUGAAGAUUCGGGGUUUCUUGCCCUGCAAUGACAAAGUUAAACAAAAUAGCAAACAAAAACUUCUGAGCAAACUUAAGUGAAAAUGUUUUAGUACUAUCUUUACUUCAGAAGCACCCAUAUGAUGGUCUCAAACCUCUUGUUCAUGCCAUGAUAACGAUUCAAAUAAUCAACAACUGCUUUGAAAAUAGCUGUCACAGAUUUCUAUUGGGAAAAAAUUAUGAUUGAUUAGUUUUGUUCUUUACAAAUAGAAGUUAUCAAAAAAUAAAUUAUAAGAUCUUUACCAUGUGCCGACAAUAAUCUUGCAAAAGUCCAUACAAUCAUUGCGGUGGUCUAACAGGAUGCCCACAGUGUGUGUAGUAAUGUCGUAAAACUUCUCCGUAUCGUUUGUAAUUGCACAAACAAUACAACUUUGGUGUAAACUAAUACCAGAGACAAGUAUAUAAACAAUAAAAGAUUAUACUUUACUUUUAAGUGUUUGUGAUUCAUAUCUUUCAUUUGAAGCUUGGGACUCCAAGCCAAGCAUCGAGCUUUCUUUGAAAUGAAAAGUGAUGUCUGUCGUCUCAUACCACCCGAAAUCUUGAUCGUCGUCUAAGGAGAUGGCUCUGUCCAAAAAGUGAAUUUAUGCAAGUUAGGAGACAGGUAGAGCAAGCCAUAUGGCUUAUCAGUUAUUACACAUGUCUCAACAACUAAGAGACAAGUCUCAAACAAUGCACUAAAGUAAGUACUAAAAAUAUUUCAACAAUGCAAUAGAAAAGACAUGGCGGCAGAGAACACAUAUCCCCUUCCAUUUUGUUUUUGCUUUAGAAGGUGGACAUGUAUUUCUAGCCUAGUUAGUGCUUUAUAUGGAUUCAUUUGUAAGCAAUUAAGUAAUAAAUGAUAGUUACAAACGAUUGUUAGAGCUGUUAAUAGGAAAAAAAAUAGUCUCCCUAAGUUUGUAAGAAGAUGUCACAUUCUAUAAAACAGAAUUGCUCAUAUAGUAGUUUUCAUAUGUAUAGAAGAUAUCAUAGUAAAAGAGAUUCUCUAAAACAACAUGCAUCUCAUGAAAAUAUCAACAUAAUCCCAAUCAUGGAUUAUAAAAAAACUUACCCAUGUCGAACACUACUUUUCAAAAUCAUUGAAUCUUGUUAAAUUUAUCAAACCCCAAAACAAUUUAAGAUAUAUAUCUUAAAUAUAUAUAAAUAAAUAAAUAUGUCUUUGAUUGAGGAUGAAAUGACAUUCUACAUUAAAGGAAGCCCGCCAAAUUCCAAUACUAUUUAUAUUUGUGUGCAAAAAGUUAUGAUUAUUUCAAAUUUUUUAUCUGCUAACUUAUGAUUCUUGGCAAGUGUAGCCUAGUCCAUUACUUUUACGGUUGAUGAUUCAUGUUCAACAGUUGGUACAAAUGUUAGUUGACUCCGUUAGUUCAUUUUCAUAAAUAACAAAGAUUGUUCAUCCGAGUUGUUCUCACAACACCACAUUCAUACUAGCUCGUGACCAAACUUUAUGGUUGUGUAACACCCUAGUGAGUUAACACACAUAAAGAUAAAUUGAUAUAUUACGCCCAAUAAUUUCUCUCUCUCUCUCUCUCUCUCUCAUCUAGCUGAUUGUGCUCAUUUGUUUCAGUUUACUUUUUUCUUUUUGUAGCAAUGGAUGAAAAAUGGAAGUUUUUUAAUUACAAGCUCAUUGUUGAUGAUGACAAAGGUAAUUAUCAACAUAUAGAGACAAACCAUAGUUUGUUCAUUUGUGUAUAGUGUGAUGAAACAUUCCCUUACAAAGAGUAUGGAGAGAUCUUCUUGAGCGCUACUACGACAAUGUGUAGCACUACGGCUUUAUAUUCUGCAACAAAAAUAUUCUGCAACAAAAAGAAGUGUCUCAUCUUUCAUAUCAAAAACGACCACAAUUGUAUCCACCCAAAGCCGAAGCCAAAGAAGCUGAAGAAGAGGGGGAAGGAAAUGAAAGGAGGAAGACGAGGCAGGCACAACCAACAACUAGCGGUCGCGUAUAAUUAGUGAUUCAUGUCAUUUUUAUGUUUAAUCUAUUUUCUCUAAUUAAUCAAUGACUUGCAUGAAAUACGUACUCGGAUGAUAAUCAAUGUUUGUUUUUCGACGUUUAAGUCAUUUUAUGGAAAAUUCUAAUAAUCUAUUCUUGUAAUGUAUUUUAUGUUGAUGUCUUAAUCCUUAUCUACUCUACUAUAUAAUGUAUUUUCUGUUCAGUGACAACCAUGAAAUGGCUAUGCUGGUAUAUCUAUAUUUGCUAAUGUAAAUAAACUGAGCUUCCAUGUCUGGAGCAUGGAAACUGUUUGUGAUUAUAUGUAAUACACCCUACUUUUUAGUCAUAUUCAACAUACAUGAAUAUACAAUUAUACAUUAUAUUUAACUUAGGACAUCUAUCUAUAAAUAUUAAUCGAAGUGGUAAUACUUAUAUAUCUCACAAGCUAUCUCUCUAAAUCAUCAAAAUACAAUCGUUAUUCAACAAAUCAAAAAGAAAUCAAAUAAAUAAAGCUAGCAAAAUCAAUUACAAAAAAGAAGAUUAGUUGUAUUGUAUCUAAAAAAUAAGAGGCUUAAUAAAACAAUAGAAAUAAUAAGAAAUUAUUAGGGCAUAAAGACGGGCCAGGCCGGGUUUCAUUUGCUUGACCCUUACCCUACCUUAUUUGAGAAGGGCUAGGGCUGGCCCGUCCUAAUGGAGGGCUAGGUAGGGCUUCAGCCGUAAAGGGUAGGGCGGGUUAGGAUCGAAGGGCCAAAUGACGAGGCCUACUCUCACGUAACAAGAUCAUGAACUGGGCAUUACCAAUUAAUCAAAGGCAAUUCAUAAAUCAAAGGCAGCAUAUUAAUCGAAGAUAACUCAUAAAUCAAAUGCAACAUAUUGAUCUAAGACAGCUCAAAUAGUAUAGAAAGUAACAUAUUAAUCAAAGGCAACAAAAUCAUGAACCAGACACCACCAAUUCUCAUGAAAAAGUCAUUAGGUCAAAAAAUCGGGGCAACACCAGAGAAUCAAGGCAGAACACAUGUAAAACUAUCGAGAAAAUAUCGAAUAUUAAACAUGGUAUAUUUAACCAAAAAUAGAUUACGGUUAAACAUGUUUAUAUAAAAUUUGAUAAAAUUUCCAUCGAUAUUCGAUAUUUUAUUUUAAUUAUUUAUUUUAAUUUAUUUUAUUUUAUUUUGCUUAACAUGUAACUCCAAAAAUAUAUAUGCAUAGAAGAGUUCUACUAACUUUUAUCACUAUUGUUGUAAAAAUAAAUAUUUAAUUUUGGAGUUUUUUUUUAAAAAUAUUUUUGCUAAAGUAAAUUGUUUUAUUUGUAUUUGAUAACCUCAAAAAAUAAAUUAUUUUGUUAAAGCAAGUAAAAAUGAUAUAUUUACUGAAAUGAUGAAAAUACCCUUAAAAUUUAACGGUGUUAGUGGUCAGGAUAUCAAAAUACUAACGGAAUGAAACUUCGGGUAUAAAAAUGUAAGUUUUUGAUAGUUAGGUAUAAAAAUGAAAAUAACAUCAUGGUUCGGGUGAUGUUUUGUAAUUAAUUCUAUUAAAGAUUACCUAUAAAUUAAUCACUACAUUUCUGUUGUGGCCCAUUGAUUUCAUAUCAGUGAUCUAUGAUUUUCGUGUGUAGUAUUAGAGCAACACUUUCGUUUGCUCAAGUGACUGGUAAUUACUGUUCCUCAUAUUAUAAACACCAAUUGAUUCAAAAUUAUCAACAAAACCAAUCAAUUCUAUUCUGUACCAGCUUGUAGACCGAGUUGGUAUAAACUUUGAUGUGCUGUCAGCCUGCAAGUCAUAUGGUAAUUUUCAGGAGGAAAUGGAACCUGAAUGUUGCCUCUGGUGACUGAGUUGGUCCGUUGGUAACACUGAGAAGAAAGAAGCAAAUUAGCAGCGACGUCAGCGGGCAUAGAAUCAAAUCACAGUAUUAGGAAGUAGACAACAAAUGACAUUAUAUUCCAUCAUCAUCAUCCAUGUUAUUUCUGAAGAGGGAUCGAUCAGAAGCUAUACAGUUGUAACUUGUAAGAUGACUCAGUCCAGACUCCAGCAUCAUCCAUGUUAUUUGUGUUUCAUUGGCUUUGUCAGCUGUGUAUCUUCGCUUCUUCAAGAGCCGUGCAAUGCAUCAGCCUUUCGAUCAAGGUCAUCAUCAAUCUCAUCCGAAGAAGCGCGAGUAAAUGUCCUUUGAACUCUAGAUCAUCAACAAAUGAAGCAAUGUGGUAUAUGAAUGCUGAACCUGAGUCAUCUACCAGAAAAUAUGACAGGUUCUGCAUGGGUCUUUUAGUAAUUUCACUUUCUUGUUUCAAAUGGAAAGCUGUAAAUUAGAUUUUAGAAGGCAAAUAUGAGGUGGAAAUCCAAAAUGAAAAUAGCCCUCAUCACAGUGCUCACCAUGAUCAGCUGAGAGAGAUCAAUCACAUUGACAAAGAUGAAAUUGGAAGCAGGAUUGGGCAUGGGACCGAUGCACAGUAAUAGAGUGAGCAAGCGAACAUAAGUUAUUUCUGUUUCAUCGACUAAGUUGCAGCUAAAUGUGUAUUGCAAAGGGCUCAUCAAAAUUCGAAAGCAUAGUAAAAAUUAUUUGAUACAAAAUUGUAUAUAAAACCACAAGGAACUGAAUUUUCACAAUCAGAAUAGAUCACAAAUUUCUGCUUUAUCAGCUGGCUAUGGCUAGAAUUGAAUUACCCUGAAAUUCCUGAUUUAAAAUUCUGGAAAUGGGUGUGGCCGACAAAAAUGAGAACAUCCCAAAAGCUGGUUCAAAAGUUCAACUCAGGAGUUUGCAACCAUCUGCUCAUGAACCUUGACAUGAGAGCUUCCUUCUCCUAUUCCUGCACCUUCCUCAUGACCUUCUUCAUCAUUGAUUUGGUUGUCUUUUCGUUCCUCAAUCUGUUUUAGUUUCUUCGACCAAUCAUACAUCUAUCUCUUGACUUCCCUCUCAUCUAGUUUUAGCUCUUUAAAUUCCUGUUCAACCUUGGAUUCAUCUUUAGGUUGCAGGAAAGCAUAUCCCCCUGUCUGCCCAACCUCUUCAUACAGCUUUUCAAUUUUCGCUUUCCAGACAAGCCCCAUCUCGGUGUCCAUCUUCUGGUAAGGAGUUUUCAGAAAGUAUUCAUCAAUCCCACCUGCCUUGUCUAUGCAGCGCAAGGCGUGGGUGGUGACUUUGACUUGAAUCUGGCGGUCUAGGAUGUAACUGAAGAGCCGCUUCUCCUGCACAUUUGGCUUCCAAUGCCUCCUCGUCCUGAUCACCACAACAAUUUAUGGUUCAUCAAUAACCCAUUCUUCCCACUUUUUACAAUCACAGACCAAAACAGCUCCAAAGUGCAUUCAUAUACACUACAACACCUUUACAAAUGCAGUAUAAUAUGCAUAAAGAAAACAGUAAAGUACAAAAUGUAAAAUUAACCUAGCAGCUCUGCUGCAUUUAGAACUAGUAUUAUAUACAGCCUAUUUAUAAACAAACUCAUGAACUAUAUAAGCAUGUAUUAUACAGUAGUUACACAUUAGAUAUCAAGUUUAUUAUUGAAUAAGUUUAUGACAUCUGUUAAGAAUUCAAAUUCAAAAUAUAGGUUGUUAAGACAAGAAUUGGAUUAAGACAAGAAGUUAUCUGGACAGUUUCUUGAUGGAAGAAACUGUCAUGGAACUGUUAAAAGCAGUUAAAAUAUAACUGCUGCCAUUCUGAUCCCUUCUAGAGCACAGACACACUCCUAUAUAUAUUGUCCCAUCAAGCAAUAGAGUAUUAAGUGUGAAUCUAGAAGAAGAACAAAAAUGGAUAUGAACUCGAAUCUACCAAGUUAGUAUUUCAAACAUAUUUACAUUUGAUCUAGAAUCUGUCAUAGGAUAUUAGUAUAUUGAAUGUUUAUGAAAUGUACAAACUUACAAUUGGUAUCAGAGAAACUAUGCUCAGAUGCUAGAUUGGUGUAUAUGUGUUUGUUGAAAUUCGUUUUUGUAUCCUGGGAAAUAACAAGCAUAUCCGUAGAAUUUCAUAACCUGAAACUGAAAGUUCAUGUGAUGCCUCUCAUUGAAAAUUAGUUUUCUGGAAUAUGUCCAUUUAUGAUUAAAUAUAUUUCAAUUUCUGUUAUUCACAUGUUUACACAUGAAUGUAUGUUGUGAAUAUAUGUUCCAUCAAACUGAUAUGUAUUUUCUGAUUACAUAAUGCUGCCAUAGUAGCCAUGUAUGAACUGAUAUACAUAUUAUUACUAAAUCUUCUUUCUACUGAUACAUUCUGUAACUCAUAUAUAUCUUCAAUGCUGACAUAUUGGCUGAAAUAUAUGUGAUGUUUUAGUACUUUAGAAAGAACCUGUAUACAACAUGAAAUUUUGGAAUAAAAUUUUAACUUCCAUAGCAGUUAUAUUUUUGAACCAAGAUUCAUGUUUUAAGUUAUACAUAUCAGAUAUCUAUAAGCAUUGCACUAAAGAUAAAUGCAUAAGGAUGUGAUUCUCACAUACAGCAAAUGUUCUGCUAAUUUUAUCUCUAUAUAUAUGACUUUUUCAUAGUGUAAUUUCUAUAUGAAUUGACAUUGGGAUAUGCAACUAUAUAUAAACUUUUCUGGUAUUUCGGAAGAAUUGGAAGCUUUAUCUAUGUAUAUAUGCAAAUAAAGUUUUAUCAAAAUGACUGACAUAAGAUUGAAAGUUCAUUACAGACAUGCACUUUCCCAUGAGUAUCAGUCAGAUUGAACUCCUCAAUGGAUUCAAUUAUCAGAAAUGGAGAGGUGACAUUGAACUCAAUUCGGCAAUUCUGGAUUUUGACCAUGUGCUCAAGGAAGAUCCACCUGUUGAACCUGCUGCAAAUGCUGGAAAGGAAGUGAAGGAAAAGUAUCUCAAUUGGCAAAGGCACAAUAAGAUGGCACUGAUCUGUAUCAAAAAGAGUAUGAAUAGCUCUGUGAUGGGAAGCAUACCAGAUUCCGAAUAUGCAAAGUAAUACAUGAACUCAAUUGCUGAAAAAAUACAAGGUCUCCAACAAGGCUGAAAUAGGAAGGCUUAUGAACAAGUUGACUGGUCUGAAGUAGUAUAAUGGAGGAAGCAUCAGAGAAUAUGUAAUUAAAGGGGCUGACAUUGCAGAGAAACUGAAGACUAAAAAGAAGUUGAUAUAUGCCUAAGCAUGAGCAUCUACAGAAGAAUUUUACCCUCUAGAAACCCAAAUCAUAUAUGCCUAAACCCAAUUGUAUAAAAUGAACAUAUAUCAGAGAAGAAAAGCAAAAAUACCCAAUCGAAAUCAAGACUGAAAUUUUAGUGUAGAAUCCAAUCCAUAUUUACGAACUAAACGAGCAAAAUCAACGAAUCUACUCACAGGAGAUUUGUUCUUUCGACUCAAAGUCUCAAACUAUGAUCGCAUCACAGGCCUGACAGCUCUCACUGUAAAUGACUUAGCCUAAGAUCAAUCUUGGAAAUUAAAAACACACAGCACCCACUACCCAGCAAACCAAAGUCACUAACUUGAAUACUCUAGUCUCCAAAGUCUUGAUCUUUAGCAUUACUGGUAAGAAAUUAGGGUUCAAAGACUGAAAUUGGGCUUAUAAUUCAAAAGGAGAAAUAGGGGGAAGAUACAAACUUGUUGCCGCCGUCUUCGCUGACGUUAUUGCCGAACUGGAUGUGACGGCCGGCGAAGAUGCCACGUUGCGCCCGACCCAUGAGGACUUUGUCACCCACUUUCCUCAGCGCCAUUCUCACCAUAAACCCUAGGGUUUUGGAGCUCUGAGAUUUUGAGGGCUGCUAAUUCACUUCAUUUUCAGUACACAGACAAGUUGUAAAGGCAAAGCUUUCUAUUGAAAAAAAAAAAAUAUAAUAAAGUAAAAGAGGUUGGCAAAGUCCACGACUGAUUUGAAUUGGGCUCGUCCUUGAGCCCAAAAUGAAGGCCCAAAAUUGUUACCUUAUGUGUCCCUCAAACCCACCUCCUCCAAACCUGUGUUGUCCCCUUCCCUUCUUCUCUUGUGUCGUCGCUGCUCCGGUCUCUCUACUUCCAGCCGCAGCCGCAGCCACCGUCAAACCGCUCGAGUCCGAUUUGGGUACGUAUUUUCUCUUCUCCCUCUCUUUCUUUUAUCUGGGUUACUUUACUUUUCAACUUUUUAUUACUUUCAUUAGGUUAUUUUCGAUUGCAACUGACUGUAUGUCUGUGUCCUCCUUUAGUUUGUCUCUGAUAUUCAACCAAAUAGUUUGAGCUAAUUAUUGCCAUUGCCUUUUCCUUUUUUCGUUUUGGAAAUUGUUGCUGCAAUGGCAUAAUUUGUAGGAAAUUUAUAACUAAAUAUUAGAUAUAUGAAGGCUAAACCCAAAUCAAAUACAGUGCUGCAAAGCUUACACUUUUGUUUAUUUUCUGCAAAAAGCUACUAGAGCUCUGCGGUUGGUUUGAUUGCUCCUAAGUUUGUACCAACUGGCCUUUCCACUCUUAACUGGGAAGUUGUUGGGUUUUUGUGAAAUAUGAUUGGGGUUAUGGUUUUACUUUGUUAACCUAGUUCACUACGGAAGCCUUUGCCUUUAUUUUAUGUCAUACAUAUUGUUGUUGACUACUUGUUUGUUUAAUGGAUGAUUUUGAAGUAAACAUACAGCUGUUGUUCAGUGUUGUGUUGAUGGCGUUUGUAGUUAGCUAAGCGUAAAAUAGUUAUUUCCUUGGAAACUUGUACUGGUGGCAGGGUUGAGGUCAUUCCAUUAUAUCCAAAUUACAAGAUGACAGGCACAGAAAAGAAGACUGCUAGUUCACUGGAAGAGGAAGCGUAAAAGAAAAACUAUACAGAGUUAAUUUGAACUUAGGAGGCAGUAGCCCAUCGCCCUAUUUCAUCCCCUCAGUGCCGUAUGUAGUCAGCCUUCACUUUCCAGCUGUCCUCAUUAAUAUUAUCAAGCUCCCUAGCAGCCAUAUUGUGAAUGAGCCCUUGUGUUUUAUGUUUUUUGGGCUCCAUUUCAUUGAUCAAUAUUUGUUAUUUGGUUGCCAACAUCAGGAAGCUCAGUCAAUUAGGCACCUUCACAGCACCAUCUUCCAUUUUCAGCUGUUCCCCACUCAAGAUGUGUUGAGGCUCAUUCAUGUCCUAAAUUGUAUUUUGCUUUCAGGAAUAAGUUUCCUUGUUUUUGGUUUCAAGUUAUUCCAGCUUGUCAUACUUGUGCGUCAGAAUUUCUGGUUACCAUGGGUAUCUGGUUAGUUGAUUCUUGAUCCUUUGUGUAAGGAUUGCUACCCUAUGCUUAAGAGUUUUUUUGGUCUCAUUGUUCGCUAUCACUGAUAAGAGUAGUGAGUUUGAGGACUGUGGAGUUACAUUGGGGCUGGAGAUGUUGGCUUCAUGUGUUUGGUCAUACAUAUGUUGAAUUGUAUGGAAAUACUUUUUAUGUUUCCAGCAUAUAUGGCUUAAAUUACGACCACCAUCAAAAUGAUUGUCAUAUCAAGGCAUCUAAUUCAUUCGGUCAAGAUGAGUUCCUUAAAUAUAUUUACUGGAUCUAACUCAAAACACUCUCGGUCCUCACACAUCCUAGAAGUUCUAAAUGAGGAUUAUGAUGUCUUUGGUAUUAUCAUAUAUAUCUUUUCUGUUUUCUCCUUGAGUGUACAUUGUUGAUUUUGACAUCUGUCUCUCUACUCUUUCUUGCAGAAACUUUUGCUUAUCAAGAAGCUUCAGAAUUGAAAUAUGUCCGGUGGCCCUGGUCUUGAGUCACUUGUUGACCGUAUGGAAAUACUUGACAAUCUAUUUUUAUUGCAUUUAACUCUUCUGAUUCUUAUGCAUGAAUGUAAACUGUGUCAUAAAUUCACAAGUUAAAGCCUUCAAGGCAAGGAUAAGCUUUUGCAUCUUCUGUGUGACAAAUAGAUAAUCCAACAAAUAGACCAAAAAUAAUCUCACUCUAAUUGGAAGAGUAUUACAUGUUGAGCGUUUCAAGUUUCAGAUUUCUCUCUCUCUCUCUCUCUAAUUGUUAAAACAUUUCUAUUUGCAGAAACAAUUUCAGUUAUCACAAAUGAUGGACGCAAUAUUGUGGUAUACUUCAUGGCUAUGCACCUUUACAUCUCUUUAAUCAAAUUAGUUGUAUAAACUAUUAACAGUUUUGAUAUUAAAUUCAGGGAGUCUUGAAAGGCUUUGACCAGGCUACUAAUAUCAUUCUUGAUGAGUCUCAUGAACGGGUUUUCUCUACAAAGGUUUGCGUCUUUACUGUUACUAGCUUCCAAGUUUCAACUAAAUCCUUGUUCUUAUUUGAAAAUUACAUGAAUGAUUGGACCAAGAUAAAGAAAUUUAGGAGUCAUAUAUCUGGUAGUUGAAACAAUUCUCAGAUUUCCAGAUAACUGCUCUCUGAUCUUUGUUGAUGUAGUUACUUUUGCAUCAUUGCUAGUUAAACUGGUUUUAUUGUCCUACUGUUGGGUAACUUGUUCUUUCUGAUUGGCAGGAGGGUGUUCAGCAACUCGUGCUGGGAUUGUAUAUAAUCAGGGGCGACAACAUGUAAGUCUUAACUCUUUAACUUAUUUAAAUUAGUUUUAUGUGAGUUGUUGAGAAGUGGUAUAUUCUUUUGGUAAGCAAGUAUUUUCUGUUGGUUGGUUUUUGGUAAACAAGUUGUUCGUAUUGGUUGGUUUUUGGUAAACAAGUUGUUCGUACUGGCGUUUACAGAUUUUAUAGUAUUUGCUAUAAUCCAUAUCUUUUUAUAAAUGCAGAAGCAUAGUUGGGGAACUAGAUGCAGAUCUUGAUUCGAGCCUUGAUUGGUCGAAGAUGAGAGCGUAUCCUUUGAAGCCUGUCAUCCAUUGACUGAUCGUGAAAGCCAUAGAGAUGUUGUAGACUCGAUGGGUAGAUUAUGGCCAUCCAAACAAAUGAGUUACUUAUAGGUGUAUAAUGAUGGACAUUUGGGUUUGUAAUACUCAGUCGGGUUUCUAAUCUGUUGGACUGUCAUUCUACUUAUGCGCUAGACAAUGAACAGGUUAUAAUCCUUUUCUUGAAUGCUGAUGUGACAGAGUAGAACUUACCAGCAAGAAUAUGAGUGUUAUUCAACUACCCCCUUUUGAAUUCAUUCUAAAGCCUAUAUGUUUGGAUUUCUCUUAUUCUCUUUUUUGAUACAGGCUAUGUGCUUGGGUUUUUCUUUUCUCUAUACCGGGUAAAUUAGUAUUGCAAUAUCUACGUUUGUCGUUUGGUGUGAAAUUGUUCGAUGGUGAAGCUCUUCAAACCCCAGUUCAUUUGAUUUUGUAACCAAACCAUCAGUUCUUUAUCUUUCAAUUUAAAAAUUUCCAAAAGUUGAUUUUCCAAAUCAAACAGCCUUUAUCCGAACCUUUUGUGCUGACUUGUAUGUUUGAUUAUUCAUAUCAAGUCUGCAAUCUUAGUUUAAUCUAUGAGAUGGGGCAAGUUCUAAACAACAAUCUUCAUGGGCACGACACUCGAAUACUCUGUCACUGUCACCACCGAGGCUUGUCGAACUAGAUGCGCGCCAGCAUCGGUGGAUGAGUAUGCUCUAACCUCAAAGUGUCAUACCAGAAAGAAAGAAGCCAAUUAAGGUAUGAAAGAUUGAACAACUGACACUGAAAGACAAUGACAUGGCAAUAUGUGCUUGAAAUCAUAUGUAGAACUACUCCUUUGUCAAGGAUCUGCCAGAAUUCGAAAAAUAAUUUUCGCCAAUUGAAUGCACAACCUAAUGGAAAUGUUAUGAACGUUUGAUUGGUUUGGAGGAGUCUAACCUUAAAUCGACAUGACAAAAUUGUAAGAAAGUUACAAUCUAAAGACUUGCAAAUUACUGAGUUCUAAAUUAGGUUUCUAGCCAUAAGAUGAUCUAUUAAUUAAGACUAAUAGAACAUUCAUAAAACGCUAUUUAUGUCGCAUUGAACAAUACACACCUCCGGUUAAGAGUGUAAAAUCAUGAGGUGAGUCAGUAUAAAUGUGCUCAUAUGAGAGAGCUAGUACACUAAGUAUGAGACACGUUUAAAGUUAUAUGAACAAAAAGUUACACUUGUAUCUCAUAUUUCUUCGCUAAGUUAUCCCAUAUCAAAUGAAGAUUGCAAAAGAAGGAAGGCAGAGUGGGGAAGAACUAUAUCUCAUAGGUGUAAAGUAAUACAAAAGAUUCCCUUUGUAAGAAAAAAUAACCCCAAAAUGUUAAUGCGCCCGUGGACCCACUAAAGCUCGAAAACGACAUUAAGAUGUCACAAAACGACACGGAAACCCAACGGGGCCCGGAACUCACUCUCUCUCUCCACAUGUGGGCUGUUGGCCGCUGCUACCGAGAGACGUUAGAAAACCACACUCCGUCACCCGCGCCGUGACCGAAUCUCGUGAGUCGUAACGGCGGAGAAAUUUUGGCGGUAAAAAACACCUAACCCGCAUGACGUGUGAGUCCAUAAUUGGGUGGACAUGUAUGUAUGUAUGUGAGUCAUGAUGGCAUGGCAUGCUGUUUUUCCCGCGCUUGCGACAAUAGUUCAGGGUUUUUCCCCCAAAAAGAGGCCAAAGCCAAACCAAAUUAGAGAGAGAAAGAAAGAUAGGGUUUCCCCAAACACUGAAAGCUCCCUCGCUCUCGUUCUCUCUGUUUCCGAUUCGAGAUCCCCUUAAACGCCGUCGUUUUCCUUAUUGGGCCUCCCCGGAUCCAACUCCCUCCUCCAAGACUACAGAUCUGUGCCGGCGACAAUUCGUAAGCCUCUUUUUUUUUUUGGUCUUCUAAAGCUUCACGCAUUUUUCAUGGGUGGGUUGGUGGCUGGGUAUUUAUUCCUUUAGGGUUUCAUGUAAAUUGAUUUUUUUUCUUUUUGAGUUUGAAUUUCGCUGAAGAAAUUGAGGAUUUGUGUUCUGGGUUUUGCAAAUUUGACUUUUUUUUUUGGGGCAAAUUGAAUCUCGGGGUUUUUGGGUUUUGGUGAAUUGAAUUUGGAUUUUCGCGGUUGAUUUGGGAUUUUGAGAUUUUGGUGGUUCAAUUAGGGUUUAGAUGAGUCCACCUGCUGUGCUGAAGAUGGAAGAUUCAAAGACGGAAGCUUCUGCGUCCACCAAUUCGAAUUCGGGGACUGGUGAUUUGGACCCUGUCAAAGCUCGAUUUACUGAUUUCUGCAAGGUUUGGUUUUUUUUUUUUUUUUACUGUGAUCAGAGUUACCCAGUUGGUCUCUCUUGUUGUAAUGGCGCUGUGUCGAAAGUUUAAUUUUUCGAAGCGAUUCUCUGGAUAAAUUUAAAUGAUGUUAUGCAGAAUGGAUUGUCCUUGGAUGAGAACACGCUGACACAAGCUUUGAAGCUGCUAUUAGAAACAAAACAUGUUCUGAUAUCAAAUUCAUCAGCUAUCGGAAAUGGAACGGUACGUUUUUAUUGAUUCCCUAUUGUGAAUUGGACUAAGAUAGUAUUGUAUGGUAUGUGACUUAACUACAUAUCUUUGUGCAGCCUGAAGAAGCUGAGCGGUUCUGGUUUUCGUUUGUUUUGUUCUCGGUGAAAACAUUGAAUGAGAAGAGUUCCGAUAAUUCACAGAAGGCGUCUGAUUAUAAUGGAUUCUCUCUCAUCCAGAUUUUGAGAGCUGCUAAGCUCAAGUAUGUUGUUUAUCAAUCUGUGUUCCUUUUUUUUUUUUGUCUUGUAGCUUAUAUUGCUUGCUCAUGAGUUCUUCUCAUUUCGCUUUUUCGCUCCAGCGUUGUGGAUUUCUUUAAGGAGCUUCCACAGUUUAUUGUUAAGGCCGGCCCAAUUUUAAGUAAUCUGUAUGGCAUAGAUUGGGAGAGCAAACUUGAGGUACUAAUUCUCAUUAGAGUUCAGUCUCUUCAUGACGGUGUCUUCUAUGUAUCUUACUUUCCGUUUUACUUGGUCACUCAUGAGUUUGAGUUUUUAAUGUGUAGGCAAAAGAGUUGCAGGCAAAUUUUCUGUACUUGAGCCUUUUAAGCAGGUAAGUGCCCUUUAUUUUACGUAUUGUGCUGGAUGUGUUAGCAAGUUAUGACAUAUUCUGCUUUGCUUUUGAGCUUUUCUGAAACUUGUGCAAGAUCAGCAGUUAGGAUUGGGACCAAUAAAAAACUGAGCAUGAGUAAUACGUGUCUGCGUAUGUGGGUAUUGUUAGAUAUAGUGAUAAUUGCUUUGGUUGGAAACUGUUGGGCAUACUAAUUUUUGUCUGAUGGUAGUGGCUUGGGAUAGAAAAAUGUUAAUGAGGCUGUAAUGAAACUGGCUGACAGAGGUGGUAGGACUUCAAAUAGAAUAUUAUUAAAAAGGAACGAGAAAAACUUCUUUAGCAUCCCUGCAGAAUCUGUUGGUUUCAUCCUUAUCUAACGAAAAUCCUAUAUACAAUUUGUUGUUAACUCAAAAUUCUGUAUGCUGUGUUUUCUCGUGAAAUACAAUGUGUCUGGUUUGGUUAUGAGUGCUUGAAAAUAGGGACCGUGCUACAAUAAAAUGUUUGGAUGUGCUGUUAACUCAAAUCUUUGUUUUUGCUGUGUUUUGUCGUGGAAUACUAUGUUUCUUGUUUGGUUGUGAUAGCCUGACAUCAUAAAUUUUUAUGCUUUAAGGUACUUCAAAAAAUCAUAUGGGGAAUUCUUCGCCAGUGAUGCAACUGUUGAUAAGAAGUCAGCCAUUACCAAUGGGACUGGUUAUGUGUCAGAGUAUCAUAGAUUUGGAUGGCUGCUGUUUUUGGCCCUUCGGGUACACGUAUUUGGGCGAGUUAGAGACCUGGUGACAUGCACAAACGGCUUGGUUUCCAUAUUGGUUAGUUGCCGUUUUGUGUUAUUUUGUUAGUGAGUUUUGUAUGCUAUCAGAUAGUUGAACUGCUGACAUAAAAUGGAUUUUUAUUUCAUUAAAGAAAAAGAGAUUUUUGGCUCUCUGUUAGCUCUAUACUUCAACAAGUACCUUUUUUCUUACUGCUUGAUUUUGUCUUUGUACAGGCAAUUUUAAUUAUUCAUGUCCCUGUUCGCUUCAGACAUGCUAGAAUCCUCGAUUCAAAACGUUUUGGUAAUAUUCCACUUGGCUUGUUAGCACUCUUUCUUUUAUAAACAUUUUGGUAAUAUUCCACUUGGCUUGUUAGCACUCUUUCUUUUAUGUUUAAAGUGUGUUUGGACUUUUGAUCUCCACUUCUGUGUGCAUUUUUAAAUUCUUCAUUGGAUCUCAUUGAUUAAUGUCUAAUUCAGUGAGAAAAGGAAACAAAGGUGUGGACCUUCUUGCAUCACUUUGCAACAUUUAUGACACCUCAGAAGAAGAGUUGAGAAAAACAAUGGAAAAGGCUAAUACAUUGAUAUCAGAUCUCUUGAAGAAGAAGCCUUGUUUGGCAUCUGAAUGUAAAAAUGAAAAUCUAAAGAAUAUUGACACAGGUGUGUUGUAAAAGUUCCUCAUAUCUGCAAUGGAUGAUAAGAAAAUCUAAAGCUGUUCUUCUGAAAUCUGAUCUUGUUUGAUGCAGAUGGUCUGACCUAUUUUGAAGGACUUCUGGAUGAACCAUCUUUGUCAUCUAGUUUAGAUAUUCUAGAAAAAGAUCAUGAUGAUGCGAUUCGGAAUAAGGGUGAACUGGAUGAGAGAGUAUUUAUAAACGAGGAGGAUACCUUAUUUGGUUCAGGGAGCUUGUCUGGAGGGUCCUUGAAUUUAUCUGGGGUGAAGGUAUGCUUUCGAUAGUCAAUUCUACUAUUCAUGAAUAUGUGUUGUCAGAUCUUCUUUCUGUUUCCAUUGCUGUUGUUUCGUUUAUAAAAAGUUUGUUGAUAAUCUUAUCUGUUCUAUUAUGUUAGAGGAAAGUUGACUCAAUGGCCUCCCCAACAAAGACAAUUACAAGUCCACUUUCUCCCCACCGCUCUCCUGUCUCACAGGCUAAUGGUGGGGCUAAUUCAAAGAUGGCAGCUACACCUGUGAGCACUGCAAUGACAACUGCAAAGUGGCUUAGGACCUUUAUUUCUCCACUUCCAUCAAAACCCUCAGCCGAGCUCGAGGGUUUUCUGGCAUCAUGUGAUAGAAACGUUAGUAACGAUGUGAUACGCAGGGCGGAAAUAAUACUUGAAGCCAUAUUUCCAAGUAGUUCUUUGGGGGAUAGAUGUGUAACUGGUAGUCUUCAAAGUGCUAACCUCAUGGACAAUGUGUGGGCAGAACAACGAAGACAAGAAGCACUCAAGCUUUAUUAUAGAGUUUUGGAAGCAAUGUGUAGGGCAGAGGCCCAAGUUCUGCAUGCUACCAAUUUGACUUCUUUAUUAACAAAUGAGAGAUUCCAUAGAUGCAUGCUGGCAUGCUCUGCUGAGUUAGUCCUGGCAACACAUAAGACGGUCACAAUGUUGUUUCCUGCAGUACUAGAAAGGACAGGUAUUACAGCGUUUGAUCUUAGCAAGGUGAUAGAAAGCUUCAUUAGACAUGAAGAAUCACUACCAAGAGAAUUGAGACGGCAUCUGAAUUCAUUGGAAGAACGACUUUUGGAGAGCAUGGUAUGGGAGAAGGGUUCCUCAAUGUACAAUUCUUUGACAGUUGCUAGGCCUGCCUUCUCGGCUGAAAUUAACCGUCUCGGGUUAUUAGCAGAACCAAUGCCGUCUUUGGAUGCGAUAGCUUUGCAGAUCAACUUCUCUUGUGGAGGGUUGCCUCCAGUUCCUUCUUUACAGAAGCAUGAGACUUCCCCAGGUUUUGUAUAUAUUUUAAUUCUUGUUUUUGAUUUUUACAUGUUACAAUCUGAAGAACUAAUGCCCUGACAUUUUAUUUGGGAUGUAAGUUCAUGGACAUUGGAAAUAAAUUUCUAUCCACUUUGUGGCACAUGAUAUAGUAACAUGCUGAAGUGGUGAGUUCUCUUUAUUGUAACUUUUCAGGUCAAAAUGGAGAUCUCAGGUCUCCAAAGAGACCCUGCACAGAACAUAGAGGUGUAUUACUGGAGCGAAAUUCCUUUACUUCUCCUGUGAAAGAUCGUCUCCUGGGCAUAAGUAACCUUAAAUCAAAGCUGCCACCGCCACCUUUACAAUCUGCAUUUGCAAGGUACCAAAUUUUGUCCAGGAGUUGUAAAUGUAGUUGCUUCUGUUACAUUUUUUCCUCGUGGAAUUAUAUAUCUGAAAUUUCUUUUGUGCAGUCCAACACGGCCAAAUCCAGGAGGCGGAGGGGAAACAUGUGCAGAAACUGGAGUUAGUAUUUUCUUUAAUAAGGUGCGAGACAAUGUUCCAGCGCCUUUUCAAGUUUCAGUGUGUAAAUCUUAGAAAAUCUGCCCGGUUGACAUAUCACGUAUCUUUGAAAGUUUUGAAGCCUGUUCAUGACCUAUAUCACUGAAGAGGAUUUGUGUUAGGGAAACUAGUUCAUGCCAUUGAGGAUCUGAUUGUAUUUGCGUUGACAGUAUGAUUUCGAUUUAUGAGGAUAUAUCUUAAAUCUUACACCUAUGUGAAUUUCUUGUAUCUUAGAUUAUCAAGCUGGCUGCUGUGAGAAUUAAUGGUAUGGUCGAAAGGUUGCAAUUGUCUCAGCAAGUCAGGGAAAACGUUUAUCGCCUCUUUCAACAAAUCCUUGUUCAGCGCACAUCCCUCUUCUUUAACCGCCAUAUUGACCAGAUUAUCUUGUGUUGUUUUUAUGGGGUGGCCAAGGUGAUGUAACUUCUGCAAGUUUUCUAGGCUGCUGUUAAAUAAUUUUAUUCUGUACAUAUACUCAUCAGUUGUCUUCUGGAUGCAGAUUUCUCAACUAAGUCUGACAUUUAGGGAAAUCAUAUACAACUACAGGAAGCAACCACAAUGCAAACCACAAGUUUUCCGAAGUGUCUUUGUUGACUGGUCAUCAGCUAGACGCAAUGGGGUAUGGUGCCUAAUCCUUAGUCUCAUAGCUAUUCCAAGUUAAAUUCCUUUGAAAUUACAAAGUUCCUAACCCUUGACAUUUUCUGCAACCAGCGGCCUGGACAGGAACAUGUAGAUAUUAUAAGAUUUUACAAUGAAGUAUUUAUUCCUUCUGUCAAGACCCUGCUUGUGGAGCUCGGGCCUGCUACUACAACUACUAGAGCCAAUGUAGCUCCUGAAGCUAACAAUAACAAUGACGGUAUUUGUAGUUCAUGCUUCUGUUAAAAACUGAUCUCUAAUUCUUAAAUUUUGUUUGUUGUCUCUUCAAUACUCAUUCUAGAACUCCCUAAUAACUCCCAUAUUGUUAUCAUUGGCAAUUAGCUCAAUGUCCAGGAUCACCUAAAGUAUCCACCUUUCCAAGUCUCCCAGAUAUGUCUCCAAAGAAAGUAUCUGCAGCACACAAUGUUUAUGUCUCUCCAUUGCGAUCAUCAAAGGUACUUGUUUAGGUUUCUGAUUUUCUUUCCGGUUUCACAUAUAGUGUGCUGAUUAUAAAAUGGGUUCACUAUUUCAAUUCUGUUAUGCAUCUUUUGGGUUUUUGAACCACAUUCCUUUUUUUAUUCAGUAAUAAAUGAAGAACUACAUGACAUUAAUUCUUGAAGCAAACUAGUUCACAUUAGUUUUUCCAUCGCAUACCCUGUAUAUUCAGUGUUUAACUGAAUUACGAACUACUGCCACAUGAUGUACUAUGUAAAAGUUAUCUUUAGCCUUUUGCUUUUGAUAGGAUCUUGUUUUGAUAUUACUUCCAUGCAUUCUUGCUACGGUCUUUCUUUGGAGUGUAUUGACUUGAGUCUUGAAAUGUCUGAUUUUCUUGUGGAACAAAACUUUGGUUUCUAACUUUAAAGGUCUAGUUGGUUGGAUAUAAAUACCAGAUAUCUAUGUAAUGCACUUGCACAUUAAUAUAGAGUUUGAUUUAGGUGAUGCCAGUGAAUUUACACCAACUCUUUCUUGAUUUUGUCUUUUCUCCAUUUCUUCUUGAGUAUGAUAACAGUCCAUUUCUAAAAACAAAACAACAAGUCUACCUAAUUUCAGUGGUUCACAUAUUCAUUCAUGAUAAGCCGUUUCCUUUCCAUCUUACUAGCACUUGUGCAAACACUUUAUGACUGUAAGAAUACUGUUGUUUCAAUCACCAUCCCUUUAAUAGAGUUUAUUACUGUUGCUUUCUUUUUAUCUUACUACCUGAUGAUGCACGCUCUCAUUGUUUAAUUACUAUGAUCCUUCUCAAAUCUUGACACUACAGUAAGAGUUUCCUAUUGGUUGUUAUGAAGCUUAGUUACUUGUUAGCUAAUCUUCUCGAGGUAGAUAUGUGAUGUUUGCCAAGUAUCACAUGUGUCCUAUUACUGUAUUCAAGUUUGCUUUUAGAUCCUGAGUCUUGAUAAUGUACUUAGAAAUCCUCAAUUCAUUUGCGACACAUUUUGUUCAUUUUUGCACUGUUGAGUUUAUAUAUUUUGAGUCUAACUAUGACCCUGCCACAGAUGGAUGCCCUAAUCUCACAUAGCUCAAAGAGCUAUUAUGCUUGUGUUGGGGAAAGUACUCAUGCGUAUCAGAGCCCUUCGAAAGAUCUCACAGCGAUCAACAACCGCUUAAAUGGGUAUGCUUUCAGCACAUCGAUGAUUCAAACCAAAGUCUUUUACCAAAUCAAUGAUUUCAUAUAAUGAAUGUCUUCCUUUUUCAGCACACGAAAACGCACACUCGACUUUGACAACGUGGACGUAGGGGUUGGUUUGGUUAGUGAUUCUAUGGUGGCCAACAGCUUGUACCUUCAAAAUGGGAGCUGUGCAUCCUCUUCAGGUGGUCCAUCCAAACCCGAGCAACCUGACUUGUAGUCCAUCUGCUGUAUAGUUUUCGUGUAUGUAAAUCUAGGUUUUCUUUGUUCUAGGAUAUUUGUUUUAAUACAUGCUACUAUGUGUUUAUGACACGGGGUCCUGAAUGAGUGGCGAGUUACUGUAGAAUGGCCACCACAGACCCUUUUUUCUAAUGUAUGUUAGGUGUAGGGGACUCUUGAUUUAAUAAAAAAGUUUUGGUUUUCACCUUGGUCUUUUAAUAAUUUGUAUCCUGUUGAAGGAGGAAAGAAUAACAGUCUACUCUACUCAUUUAUUGAUAAAAAGGGCAAAAAUAAAAUGUAGGUGUUAGUGCAUUGAUAGUUUGGCAGACUGUGCGAACUGGAUGCAAUGAGAUUGAUACAUAAGACUUUAAGACUUCGAGUAUUGCAAUUGAGUGUUUUGGUUAUAGUUUUAUGUUUCUCUAGUAUCUUGUGUGUGAGUAGUUUUAUCCUUUGCUAAACUUAUAAUAAAUAAGCUAAAUGUCUAAUGUAAUGACAUGAUCCUUGUGGUCAUUGUAACCCGUCAUCCUGGCUUUUGUUUUAGAGUGCGGCUAUAAGGAUCUUUAAAUUUGCUCAGCAUACCUCUCAUUCUCUCUACACCUCCGUUUUAUUUUAAAUACAAGCAUUUGCUCAUUAAACCUCUUUUUAAAUUCCUAAAAUAGUCUUGUUUAUGUAAUUCACAUAUAUAUUAAUAUAUUACUCAUUACACCUCUUAUUCACUCACUAUACCUCUAAUUCUUUUUUUCUUUUUCUUUUUGAAUGCGAACAUCCAUUCCCGACUUACAUUUCUUUUAAUUUUNNNNNNNNNNNNNNNNNNNNNNNNNNNNNNNNNNNNNNNNNNNNNNNNNNNNNNNNNNNNNNNNNNNNNNNNNNNNNNNNNNNNNNNNNNNNNNNNNNNNNNNNNNNNNNNNNNNNNNNNNNNNNNNNNNNNNNNNNNNNNNNNNNNNNNNNNNNNNNNNNNNNNNNNNNNNNNNNNNNNNNNNNNNNNNNNNNNNNNNNNNNNNNNNNNNNNNNNNNNNNNNNNNNNNNNNNNNNNNNNNNNNNNNNNNNNNNNNNNNNNNNNNNNNNNNNNNNNNNNNNNNNNNNNNNNNNNNNNNNNNNNNNNNNNNNNNNNNNNNNNNNNNNNNNNNNNNNNNNNNNNNNNNNNNNNNNNNNNNNNNNNNNNNNNNNNNNNNNNNNNNNNNNNNNNNNNNNNNNNNNNNNNNNNNNNNNNNNNNNNNNNNNNNNNNNNNNNNNNNNNNNNNNNNNNNNNNNNNNNNNNNNNNNNNNNNNNNNNNNNNNNNNNNNNNNNNNNNUUCUCCUUCAAUAUUUUUUCCGAGGUCAUAUAUGCUGAAAACAAAAGAAACUGAAAGCAACAUCUGUACUUUGUACGUAUCCAAAAAAAAAAAACAUCUGUACUUUGUAUUUUAUUUCUUUGUUUUCCUCCCUUUGUGUUGCAAGCGAUCACUUAUGACUAGUAAAUGCUAGAAGUGGACAUAUAUAUUCCCAAACUCAAUCCUUUCAAGGUAGAUCAAGAUUUUCCUUUAACCAGGCUAAACUACAAGCCUUUACAUACUCUGUGAACAUUAUUCUACCAACUAAAUUAUGUAACUCGAUGAUAGUGUACAAGCCACUAGCUCCUAAACUCAGAAAAGAAGACAGAUCAACAAAAUUCCUUGGUGACCAUGGAAACCUAAUUCAAUUUACAAAUUGGCAAAUUCAAAUCACAACGAGAAACAGCAAUCAAGGCACUAACUUUUCUUUGGUGACCAUGGAAAUGAAAACAAGAACGACGAGAGGGUACGUAAAAUAUAAAAAUACCUCAGCAAAGUGGAGGAGUCUGCAACACACUGUGGUCAAGAGCAAGGAAAGCAAUGCACGGGCUCUGUUUGGACUCACAAAGAGAAUAAUACCAGUAUUGGGAUAAGAAAGGGACUCAGGCACAGACCUGAACAUAGUGAGAGACCUCUCAAUACUCUGAAACAGGAUAUUUCACUACAGUACUAUUGACCCUUGAAUGUAGUUAAGCCUUAAUAAUACAAUCUAACUGAUUGUUCGCAUAAAGCAUACUUUUACUGUUUAACCAUACAGUCUCUAGACUUGUACAAACAAGCAACGAGUUCCAUGUGAAAUGAUCAGGAGUGAUACCCUUUUCGACCAUUUGGAAAAGGAGAGUUAAAGCUUUCUGAAAAUCCCCCUUCUGGCAAAGGACACCUACCAAAUGACUGUAACUGUCUAUAUCUGGUAAACAACCUCUACCAACCAUUUCUUCGAGGAGUUUUAGCGCACUAUCAACUUUUCCUUGCUUGCAAAAUCCAUUAAUCAGAACAUUGAAAGUCGAUGCAACAGGGAAGUAACAAUGAACAAUCAUCUCAUUCAUAAGCUCAAAGGCUUGACGAACACACCCUUGUUGGCAAAAUCUAUGGAUUAGAUAGUCAUAAAUCAAAACACAUGGGACUGCCCUUUCCAGAAUCAUCUGAUCAUAGAGCUUCUUUGCAUUCUCUGUGGCACCCUCCUCACAGAAACCUAAAAUCCUCAAGCUCCUAUCAACAGCUCUGGGAAAUAGUUUACCCAAACUGGCAAGAAACUCAAGUGCUUCAUCCAAACGGUUUUCCUUAUACAGGCCAUAUAGCACACUAUUAAAAGGACUUAUUCGACCCCUACAACCAUCUUUGCUCUCAUUCAUCAAAUCCAAAAUUUUUAACCCAUCUUCAGUUCUUCCUCCUGAACACAAGCCUCUUAUUAACACAUCGUAUGUAGCAAAAUUCCAAUUGAUUCCAUCUGUUUUCAUAUCAUUAAACAGAUCAAGAGCUUUGUCCAACAUCCCAGACUCACAAAAACCCGAGAUCAAGACAUUGUAGGUAUCAACAUCUGGAAGGCAUCCCUUUCUCUCCAUCUCCUUCAAAAUGCGAAGACCAAGUUUCGCUUUUCCUAAUUGACAGAAACCCUUAAUCAAGGUAUUAUAUGCCACAACAUCAACCAACCCUCCAUUGCUCUCAACUCUCUCUAAAACCUUGACAGCCUCCAUCACCCGACCAUCAUUGCACAGAAGUUCCAACACCUUGGUUAUGGUGACAACAUCAGGCACAUACCCGAGACCAAAGCACUUGUCCAACAUAACAACCGCCUGCACCAAAUUCUCUUCUCCGCAAUAACCAGAUAUCAAAAUAUUAAAAGUCACAUCAUUAGGGUCUUCCAUCUCAUUCAUCAAGCUUCUGGCUCUCCCAACUUUCCCAUUCCUGCAAAGAGCAUGCAGCAAUGUGUUAUACACCACAGUAUUCGGCGCAACUCCCCUCGACUUAAUGGCUUGCAAGAGCUUAAAACCAUCACCAAUCCUACUUGUCAAGCAAAGACCCUUCAUCAAGAUACCAAAAGUAUAAUCAUCACCCUUGACCCCACUCGCCAUCAUCUUCUUCCUAUAAAACUCCCUAGCUAUAUCAAUAUCUUCCUGCACAAGCACAUCGAGUAUCGAGUUGAAAAUCUUAAGAGAAGGUUUCUGGUUAUACCUUGCAACCAAGUCGAGCACCUUGAUGGCUUGCUUUACCAAAUGGGCUCGGCCGAGGCCGUGAAUGAGCGUGACGAAAAUGUGCUCAUCUGGGGGUUGGCCAAUUGAGCGGGGCAUUUCGUCGAGCACUUGGUAGGCAGUGUCGAAGCGGCGAAAGGUACAUAGCUUGUGGAUGAGUGCUCGGUAAGUGGACGGAGAGUGGGUGAAGCUGGGGAGUGUGGAGGCCCAUUGGAAGGUGUCGAGGACCUGGGUGGCUGAUUUUUGUUCUAGCAGAAGAUGGGCAAUGUGGGUAUGAGAUGGAACAGAGAUGGAGGACAGAGUUCGUCGGAGAACAUGCGGAAGCUUUGAGAUUAGCAUUUGGCAUUGCAAAACUUGUUUGGAUGUCUGGGGGGAGUGAAAGGGAGGAGUCUCUCUAGCGGGUCACUGUCUCCAUAUAAAUGGCGCCAGCGAUCCGUCUCCUUAUUUGAGGCUUGACAUCAGCUUGAUUGCUAUUUGUUUCAUGAUUGUGAAACCUACCCCUUUUCAGUUGGUUCAUGACUGACAUGUCAAUUCUAAAGCUGCUCUUACACGAUUUAUAUUUUAAAUAUUUUGAAGAGUGGAGGAAUACAUGUCAAUUCUAAAACUGCUUUCAAGCACCUAGUGAGUCACCAAACUGUGAUUAUUCAAGACCAUGAUGGAACAUGGAAAUAUAGACAGACGGGGCACAUUUUAUGCAUGCGAGUCAUUCUAGUGAGUAUUUUUAAGUUGAGGACUUUUCGGUUUAUGAUUUAAAAGACCCAUUUUUUUAUCACAUUUUGACAUCUCAUCUGUUCAGUUUUUAAGUUUAUAUGAGUAGAUAAUUUUUAUAAAUUUUCAGCCAAAUUGAUGUUCGUUAAGAUAAUAAACUAGAUCAAAUUAAUGGACAAACCAAAUCUGUCAAAUAUGAACCGUUUAAGUUCAUAAUUGAUAAAUCACACUUACGAAUGCCUUAACAAUUUUCAACAUAGCUGAAAAUUUAGAAAAAUGAUCUACUUAUAAAUACAUAUAAACUAAAUGAUGAAGAUGUGGAUAUAAGAUCGAAAAGUGGGAUAAGCCGAAAAGUCCUCAACAAGUCCUCAACUUAAGAGUCCUCACUAAAAGGGCUUCCUCGUCGGCUAUGGUCUUUUACAAAAAAAGAGCCCUUUUAGUGAAGACCCUUCAGUUGAGGACUUGUCGAGGACAUGAAAAAGGUAGAAAGCAGUAGGCAAAACCAGACUGAACCAAUUGGUUGUUAAAAAUUAGAAUACAUUGAGACAACUACAUUCAAGAAUUCCUAUUGAUCCUAUUCAUAGGAAUCAAUUGAAAAUGCAAAUCCCUUGUAGGAGAAAAUAUUUUGUUUUAAAAAAUAAAAAAUAAAAAAACCUCUUUCCCCUGAUAUCAGAUCCCGCCACAAUGAAAAGUAUAGGCAUAUGCCCAAUUAAAAAGAGCAGUAAUAAGUUGAGGAGAACAGCAAACUGGGAAAAUCAACAGUGACAUCCCAUUAGAAAUUUCAUUACGAAAACCAGGUGUCCCUAUUUCAUAGUUUAUUUAAGAUAGCUUAGCAUGCCUGAAGAGCAAUAUGCAGAAUAAGAAUCAUCCAAUCCUAACUACCCAAUACUCUCACACCCAAAUUGUUCUCCUCUCAACCUCAAGUCAGCUUUACAGGUUGAAGCUCCCUUUAGAGUACUUAUAAAUAUUUGGCACACAUAUUAUAGCAUUGAGCCAACUAUUAUAUCUUAAUUCUGUGCGAAACAGAUACCUCAUCAAGCAGCUUAAUUCGGAGACAACCCCUACUUCCAUCCUUCUCUCUUUUUUGGCCUUUUCUCAGUUUUUUUUCUUCUUUUUUUACAGAAUUUCACAGAUGCUUAGGAUACGAUACGGUCAUGAAAUUUCAUUCUUACGCGGAUACCCAUUCAAAGUAAUGGCAGCGGGCGCCUCUGGUGGCAGUCCAGUUCCCACAGCCAAAGAAGAAGCUCCCUUGCUUUGGCCCGGGCUUCCGGACCAUUCCUCUGCUGCUCUUCACCCCACAGAAACAGAAUGGGUGAUGAUACUGGCAUACUGGAAUGCUCAUAUCCUUCAGUUUCAGAGGGUGAUGAGGCAGUGACAGGUGUUCUGGGGACUGCUUCAGUGUUGCUGGGCGAUCAGCAGUCUGCCACAACAAUGAGUUUGUUAUGGCAAAUUUGAAACCCCUACGCAUGAGGACAGAAAGUAGGCGAGCGGUGUUUUUGGCAUCAUCCAGGCCACAGUGAGCCCGUCCCUGCCAUGCUAAGCCUGCAAUUUGAACUGCCUCCUUCAAGUUGCACCUCAUGCCACCAAAAACCUCACGGAAAGGCACCUUCAAGUUGAUCCAUCUAUCAAGAGUAAGGAAACAAAUAUUAGAAUAAAUAGCUAACAUUUUGUUAAAGCUAAAGGAUUCUUUGUUUAUCAAAUGAAUGACUCAAACACGCAACAGUUACUCUCUCGUCCACAUUUCUUACCUGUUAAAAUAAGGAGGCUUUCGGAUUUUCUUAAAUCGACACUCAGAUUCCAACAUGACCCGACAGUCCCAGUUUGACCAUGUGACAACAGCAAAGUUGGUGUUCUUUAUCCCCUUCUUCUCAAGCCAUUUAUCAUGCCUAAGAAGGGCCUCAUUUAGAGUGACACCUCUGUCCACCUGCCAAUAGACAAUACAUCAAAAUAAAUUCAAAGUUUCACACUAAAGAGAAAAAAAAAUCCAUAGUUAUCAACCAUGCAAAUACAGUUUUUCUACCAAACAAGAUUGAAAAUUUCAAUCCACUAUGCGGGCAUGAGCUCUAGAACCUUGGAAGAAAGUAAGUUCGUACACACGACUACAGCAUGCAAUUUCACAGAUUAAAACAUGAACCACUUUUGUUUUAUUUCAGACAAACUUCAAUUCCAGAAGCAAAGCAACAGGAACCUGUCCUGGAGGGGUCUGCCAGCAACUUUUACAGACUGCCAUUCAGGACUCUUUCAGAAAGACAGCUUUGGAUCCGAGGGAUGGGCAAACGGAGGAAAAAAAAUGCCGUUUACAUCAACCGCAAUGUGAAACAAUGCUUUACUAAAAGCAUGCCCUCAACACAAGAAUUCAAUGUUACCAUUACCCUGAAUGCCGGACAUGUCCAAGGCCUUAACUGCAAAAACAAUUCUAAACUAACAGCAAAGUGAAUAGCCAUUGCAAUCUGAGUGCUCAUGUGAAAUUUAUGUUUACUUCUACUAGUCUUAAUCCACACAACCUAUUUACCCAAUAUGUAUUUAUUUUCCUGAAGGUUUAAAACAAUGUUGCGUUUCUCCAGCAACUAUUCCAAUCUCAUCCAGGACAUAACCCAACCCAUUUCCUCGAAAAACCUUUGUAAUGCAUGAAAAGCAAGGCAUGAAACCUGAAACAUGUCUUAAUCAAAGCAAUCAAUAAUACUUUCUUAAUAAAUAAGACAUUAAUAAGCCAUUAAACCCACACCUCAGGAUAAGUAGAGGAAAUAUAAAAAGCAGCGUAAGCAACAACCAAGAGAUUCUACAAGUUCCUUGUAAGACAGAUAUAUGUCCAAAAGACUUCAAAUGGAAAAUUCAUUGUAAACAAAGAGUCGUAUACACCUCGGUUGCGGGGUUUUCUCAAAAAUGAACAAUUCGGAACAGUGUGGAUCUCAUUUAAAAAAAAACAGAGAGAAAAAAAAAGCAGUUUUAAGAAAGUCGAACUUUCGGUCGAACCAGCACUUUGGGAUCCUAUGAAUGAAGCAUGGUUUCUCAUUGACUAAGUUAAGCUAAGUAUAAUUAUGACUAAGUUAAUAAGAGCUGACUCCAACUAAAAGAAAACACAGGUUCACUUCGUAGCUCAUAAAUUGAACAAGAAGCUACAGCUAGAGACAGAAUAAGGGAAUGAAAAGAUACAAUUCUUCUUAGAGGCUGUUUAUCUCACCAUUUUCUAAUACGUAUCACUUCUGAAAAAAAUUGAACUAUCCAGUGGGUUUUGGGCUUUUGGCUAUCAAGUUUAAAUCUCAUUUUGAAAGCUACUGGACCAAUUAUUUCUAAUUGAGUUUUGUCAUUAAAAUCAAUAUUUAUAGCGCCUUUGGAAAAGAUAUCCACUUGAUACAAGAUGGCCCAUCAGACUCCUAGAUUCACCCAAAAAAAAAAAAGAAAAAAGAAGACUCCCCGUACCCCUUCCACGCCAGUACUCACUUUCAGACCCCUUCAGUAUCUUCAGACAAUUUUUUCCAAGUACUUUACAAGGAAUUAGUCCUACUUUCCCACUGCUGUUGACUCCUUCUCACUAAGUAGGGACAUCUUCAAGCAUAAUUGCAUAAAAACUGCCAUGCAGCCACAACAAGAACUACCAUGAGUUCCUGAUCCCAAAUUAAAUUCAUAGCUAACUGGAAGAUGAAUUGAUCAAUUGACAAGCAUAAUUCAACAGAAAAAGCGACUAAUCGGUUCAUAGUGAUCAAUUUAUCACCCUCAUCAUUUGUAAACACUAAACAGAUACCAGAAGAACGAAAUAAAAAGAACAAAUUGGAAUAAACACAGAAAGACAAAGUCAUUGGGCACCAGUAGCAUACAAUAUGUACAACAGAAGAUCAAUCUUGAAGAUUACGCAAUCCACAACAGUAAGCCAAGGAGCAGCAAGACUAACUAUUCCAACAAAGAGGAAACUGGGGCUAAUAAACUAGUAUGAGUACAACUUAAUGGUCGAAGUACAUAAUAUACUCAACCAACAUUCCAUUUUCUGACAAUAGGCAAUAUACUGAUGAAGACAAUGAACCAUUAAGUUGUUUUACCUACAAUGCAUCUCAUUUUAACCCUAAACUCAAAGUAAAUGUAAGCCAAGUAGAAAAAACCUGAAUUUGCUGUAUGCCUGUCAGAUCCUUGCAGAAAUCACUCAGAAGAUGAUUGCAGGUUGGCCGCACAUAAGUCUGAAAACACGCUUCCAGUUGGCCAGUCACGCUAUUCACUAUCACGGAUGGAAACUCAAUUAUCUCUUGAGGGUGAGGAUUUCUAUCCUUAUCACAUGUAGCCUCAAAGUCGAUUACCACAAAAUACUGAAAAUCUUGGAACUGGAGCUCAUUAGGGUAGCUUUGAGCAAACACAUUGAAUGGAACAUAAUGAAAUCGACUGUCAACAGGAUUUUGAUAAAAUUGGCUCUCAAAAGAAUUCAUCUGGCACUGCUGCAACUUUUGAGAAUCAAAAUGAAAGGCUGACCAGUAGCCAAAAUCAUGAUGGUAGGUAGGUUUGUUGUGACAUUCAGUUGGGGGUUCCAGAAAUUCGCUGCCCAUAGGACGGUCCGACUCAGAAUUACCCCCACCUGGAUGGUUACUAAGUUCAUCUUUAUGCUCUGGAAAUCCUUCUAUGGGAUUCCCAUUACAUUGGAGGUUGUAAGGGAAUCCCUUACUUUGGAGGCAUUUUAAGGAAGCCUCACAGUUCCUUUGCAUAUUUUCUGCACCAGGAAAGAAAGGAAAUGAGAACAAAUCAUUGGGUAGUCCAUGACAGACGUAACCAUGAGAGAUCAUAUUCCAUCAAACAACAAAUAAAAAUGAAUAUUAAGCAUUUCCAGUAGACAAAAAAAAAAGCACAGCACAUAUGAACAAAGAGUAUUGCACAGAAAAAGAAUAAAAAAAAAAGGAAUUAAGAAUGAGGCACUAUACAACUCCAACAAAAAACCAACUCCAGGGUGUCCUAAAAAAGAGAAGGCCAGUGUUGGUACAGCCACAAUACACUAUCCCAUCUGUUAGAUCAGACUAUACAAAACCUAUUUUUUAGAGACACUCUGUAAAGGCCAUAUCCUCAAUUCGUACAUAGAAAACAUUAUAUCACUGCCUGAGGUCCCUUUGAACUUUUUAUGUAAGUGGAAAUUGUAAAAUGUAGUGCUACCUUAGACAUUAGCAAUAACUUUCCUUGACAAAGUGAGAAGAAGAGUUCAUAAUAUUCUGCGUGUAAGUAUGUUUUCUCAAUGUUCCAUCAACUUAAAUCAUAAAAACAAACAAAAGAAAAAAAUUAAGGGGAAAAAUAAAACAAAUACAUCUCUUUGAACAUAUAGGCCUGCCCUUUCUGGAUAUAAUUGCUAGAUUCAAUGUUAUGCCUAGUUGAGUAGUGGAUCUGCAAGUCCACUGCACUGCUGCAGAAGGUAAUGGAUUGUCGUAGCCUAAGAAAGAGCUUAGCUGACCUAAUAAUAAGAACUACGAAGGAAAAAAAAAAAAAAAAAAAAGAGAGAAAAGGAAAAGGAUUCCUGAGGGAAGGAAAGAGAAAAAAGAAAUCUAUAGGAAAUAUUACGGUUUUGAAGUGGGACCCCUCCAGGAACUAUAGGUUCGAACUUGAAGUUCCAACCAUUUCUCAAAAGAAAAAAAAAAAAAUGGAAUAGACAUCAUUUUGCAAUUUUGUUUAGUCUUUUUAAUUUGGUAGUAUAGAGCUACAUGGGUGCCCAGAUCUGAGGGGAGAAAACAAUUCAUUGGAGUGAUCAUGGUGGAAAAUGGCACUCCUCCACUAUAUUCAAAGGUGUCUCUAAAUCUAGGAGUUCAAGGUUUUUCCAAAAGAAAACAAAGAUUUAAAUUUAAUGUGCAAUCACUUGCUUUUCUGUACUGUUUUGUAAUAAAAGUACAGCAGCUACACCGCUAACCCUUACCCCUCCUACAAUAUACCUACCUUUAAUAAGGGUAACAAGAAACAUUAGCUAAUAAAAUGUCACUCUAAACACUUUUUUUUUUCACUUAAGAGCAAAAUUGUAAAGGGAAAUCGCGGAAUCAAAAUUGGGAAAAGGUAGCUAUUACAGUCCUUGAAGGCCUACAUGCUAGCAAAUAAUAGCAUAAAUUGAUCAAUAGAGAGCCAGCAUAGCAGUGGCACUUCAUAAGUUGGAGAUACAAAUAUUAAGUGCUCAUGUAAAAAGUCCUUGCAACAGUAUGCCUUCAUUGAUGGCGUAAGAAGGUAUGGGCUAAAUCAACAAAACAGUAAAACCAGGCGCUACCUAAGAAAAGAUACUUUACGGCUGAAAAAUAAGGGAAGGGUGAGAUACAAAAACUUUAAAUAAAAGUCUCCACCUCCAUCUCCACUAAUAUAUUAUCCUUUAAGCAAAAGCAAUCUACAGGGGGGUAUUAUAUUGAGGACCGGAAAUGGGACUCCUCAAAGGGACUGCAUUCCAAGGAUUCUCUAUGUUACAGUUUGACCUUUCCCCUGGGAGAAAAACAGUGAAAGAAUAAGGAAGAAGAUUAAACAAAAAUGGGGCUUCGUAUUUCCAAGGUUAUGCUUAGUUGUGUUGGAUUUGCAGGGACCAAUCUCUCAGUAUAUCUAGGGGUCCAAUGUUCUACUUAUUAUUUCACAAUUGUGAGUAGUUGAGUAUCCGAGAAAAGGGGUCAUAAUUAAUUAGCAAAACUUAAGUUGAGCUGCCUCGGAAGAAUGAACAACAUUAAAGUUCGAACACACUAUCUGCAGCAAGAAUAGAGGAACUUUGCAACUUUCAAACUCAAGAAAAACUAAGUUACAAAACCUGGCUCUAGUUUGUGGGAUUUCUGAUAUGAUUUCAUAAUUUUGGUAAGUCUCAACCAUGUAAAACACCUUUAUUCCUAAAAGAAAACACGUGUGGCCAUGUUUCUCCAAGUUUACACAGACAACCCUAAUUGCAGCAUACAGAGCCAAGGUUAGUAUCAUUUACUUUCCUAAACGACUCUUACCCCAGUGUAAACAGAAUCUCAGUCAAUAGUAACACAUCCAAGGAUUAUAAUUCCUAUUUUUCCACAUGAUAAGAUUCAAAACUUCAGCAUUCUAUGUCGAAAACCUCUUACGACCUUCACAUCUUGACUCCACACUACAAUCAAAACCUUGCAUUGCCCCGCCGACUGCGCAACCACAUUCAUCUAUUAAGUCCAUAUAUAAAAAGCCACUAUCGUCCACACCCCAAUGCCAAAACUCUUCUCCACCACACCUCCUCCAACCCUAAUUCCACCCAAUCAAGCUCACCUAACUCUUCCCAAACACUCAAAACCAAUAAAAACCGAAAACAAACCACAAUUCGCCAUCCAAAACAAAAUUGCACAAACAAAACAAUCACACUGAGAGAAUUGGAAUCGAAAUUUCGCAAAACUUUCACGAAAAUAAAAAAGAAAAUCGAACCUGACUGUUCAAGGGCCAUCAUGAUCUUUGGUGUAGUUGAGAUCCACCAGCACGUACAUCAGAUCUUCCUCAAUAAUUCCCGCCUGUAAUUAUCAAAACCCCAAACCAUUAUAAUCAGCGAAAUUAAAACUAAAAAUCCAAGCCGAAAAUCAUAAGAAAUUCGAGAGAGAAAGAGAGAAAAGGGACCUGGUUUGGUUAGAUUAGAGAGAGAAGAAGAGGAAGAAGAGGUGGAGUUGAGAGACGAAGGUGGGCUUAUAUACGAGUUGGGGCGCAGUUGGGGCCCACGCGAGUGAGAAACAUAUUCCGUUACGGGUUGCCACUUGUGAUGGCGGCAGUCGGUCGUUAGAUCUUCGAAACCGCGCAAGGCUGCGUCCUCAGAUAUAACUGUGAGAAUGCGCUUCACGUGAAUAAAACGAAAAAAAUCUUGGAAGAGAGGAUCGGGAUCUACAUGGGUGGAGUGUUGGAGUGCCCGACACGGUAAAAAAUAUGUUCGACACGUUACGUGGUGUGUCUGAAAAAAUUGAUUUUUCUGAUAAGUUUUGGACACCGGCCCAACACGUCUAUUUAUGACACACCACGUUAAUUUUUCACACUUAAAAAAAAGUAAAAAUAAAUAAAUAAAUGGAUGCAGUAGAGAUCCGUCUCGCAGUCGCACACAAAAAAUAGAAGAAAGUUAAAAAACGACGCAGACGAAGAAAACGUCGCUCAUUCGAUCUCUUCUCUCCGCCGACAGCCGGUGGCAGCCUCAAGCCUCCUCUAGGUUUCAUUUCCUUAAUCUUUCCCCAUUUGAUCUCUUAAGUUCUAAAUAAUCAUUGUUUCAUUGUUCUUAAUCAGUUAUCUAUUCAAUUGCAACUAAUGGCCUUUAUAUCUCUUACUCCAGCCAUGAGCAAGUAAGUUAUAUUGUAGAUUCAAGUCUGUUAAUCUCUAGCUAAUAGUCUAUCCGCUGAAAAAAGUCGCAAUAAUAUGUUAAUCUUUCCAAGGUCAGACUAUUUUUUCAGUUUCUGAUUAGUGAUUAUUUAGAUUAGUAAUUAAUCGAUGAGUUCCUUAUUUCCUGCAUAAUUAUAUGAAAUUUUGUGUAUAAUUAUAUUUUAGUAUCUUUUUUAUUUAUUAAAAAUACAUAAAUAUAUAAUUAUGUUUGCCGUGUUCAAGCCGUAUUAGAAACUCAUUUUUUGUGUGUUUUAUCAUGUCGUCGUGUCCAUGCAACUUAGAUCGAGACCGUCAGUUUGUGACUUUUGUGAAGUUCGACGGUUCAUGUUGGAGAUUUUUUUUUUUGAGAAGUUUGUGUUGGAGAAUUUCCCUAUUUAUUUACUAUAUAUCAUGGGCGCUGGUGUCGCUUUACUGUUCCUAAGGGAACAUUGGGCGGACGCUUUCGCCCUUGGUUCUCACAGCUAUUUACUUUCUUGUCUCCUUACACGUGUAGAUAUCCAUUAGCGCCAACAUACUCCUUUCUACUAUCACCACCGCUUCACACCCAUGAAUGAUAUUAACCAAUUCGUCUUGAUUUUUGCGUUUGAUCACGACAUUGCUAUUGUGCCUCACUUAUAUCCAUGGUAGCCGCUCUUUCUGCCUGUCAUUCGCACUUUUUGACUGCAACUAACAAUUCUCUUGCACUGCCUCUCAAUCAACAUCGGUCAUCGUCGACUUUCAAAAUUGGGUCCAUUCGGGAAGGAGAGAUUCAAUUAGUAUUUCGGGUAUCAAAUGUUUGCCAUGUAUCAUGUGUUUUAGUUUGUUUUACCGUGUUUGUUUUUUAUUAGCAUCAUGUUUGUUUUGUUUGAGAUUGCAAUCUGGUAGGCAGUGAUGAUUUCCUCUAUUUGAUUGUAUCGUGGAAAAGCAUAAAGUAUAAAUUUAAUUAUUUGAUUCUUACAACCUUAAUUUUGUCCACUCACUCUAACAUUUUUCAAAUGCUUCUCCACUGGGCCCUUCGAUUUUAAAUGCCCAAUUUAUAGGUUAGCUUAGUUGAGGUUGGGCAUGUCACACCCCAAUUUUUGAAAAUUUGGGCAUGAUAUAUCUUAAAAUCUUAUUAUCUAAAAACCUGCUCAACAACUUCCAAACUAUAAUCAAAUAUGUAAAUGUCAACAAACUCAACAACUGAGUUAAAUAUUAUAUCUCUUUAAUUACAUCAACUUCAAAGUCUAGUAAUAAUAACAUCGCUCACAUGAGCUUAAAGACAAAUUAUCAAAAUAUACAAAUAAUUGUACAUUGUCUAAAACCCAGCUCCUAAGCCAUCGCCUCAAACAUGCUGAUCAUCACCUACAGGUCCAACCCCUACACCAUGAAUUGGUGCACCGGGUUGUAAACAAACAAACCCGGUAAGCUAAAAAGUCCGUAUGAGUAACUCCCAAAAAUAACUCAAUCCAACAUCACAUCAGAUAAAACCAAAAAUUCCUGCUUUAGAACUUAGUUUAGGAAUCGCCUCAAACAAUAAAAUUCAAAAGAGAGUAAAUAAGAAAACACAACAAUUUCCAAACAAUCAAAAUCAUAAGUGAAUCAUGCAAAAAGGAUAGUUCAGGAAUUCCACUAAAAAUAUCACACCCCAAUUUUUGAAGGAUAAUUUUCAAAAAUUUGGGCAUGAUAUAACUCAAAAAUAAGACUCCAAUACUUGCUCAACAAUCCCAAACUAAACCCAAAAGCUGGAAAUAUAAAUAUCAACAAAACUCAUCACUGAGUUAUAUAUUACAUCUUCUUAAUUACAUUAGCUUCAAAAGUCUAGGAAAAUAAAGACGCUCACAUGCGCUUAAAAAUAAACUGAAUAAUAUACAAUAAAAUGUACAUCAUCUAAAACCUAGCUACUAUGCCUCUGCCUCAACCCUGCUGAUCAUCACCUGCAGGUCUAACCCCUACACCAUGAAUUGGUGCACCGGGUUGUAAACAACAAACCCGGUAAGCUAAAAAGCCUGUAUGAGUAACUCUAAAAAAUAACUCAACCCAAACUUCACAUAAAAAUAAAAACGGAAAUUCCUGCUUAAAACUUAGUUCAGGAAUCGCCUCAAACCAAAAAAUUCAAAAGGGAGUAAAUAAGAAAACACAACAAUUUCCAAAACAAUCCAAAAUCAUAAAUGAAUCCUGCAAAAAGGAUAGUUCAGGAAUUUAAUUGACAACAAAUAAGCAUUUUCAACACUUUUACAAAUAACAUGUACUCAUGAGAUAUUAAUAAAUACCUCUCAUGACCUACAACAACAAUUUGUGUACCCAUGGGUCCUAGAUACCAUAAGGUAUCUCCUAUGACCUACACCGACAGACGGACUAGAGCUCUGUUUCUAACCGCAACCAAUCACCAGGCCAAAGGCUUGGAAACCGGUUUGACUGUCCAAUAACAAAUCACAAAAUAAAAAUAACAUCAUAACCGUAACCAAUCACCCGAUUAAAGGCUUGGAAUCCGGUUUGACUAUUUACACAACAUUUCACAUAAGGGUAAAAUCAUCAUAACCGUAACCAAUCACCCGAUUAAAGGCUUGGAACCCGGUUUGAUUAUCUAAACCACAAAUCACAAUAUAAUAAAAUCAACAUCAACAACCCAAUAGCACAUCAUAAAAUUAUAUCCUUCCACAUAGAUAUAUUUAUAUGCACAAACCUAGAUAUCCCCACAAGAAUCAUCUAUCAAUAACCAAAAACAUUAUGACCACAUGAAUCCUUAAAAAUAAUCAUAUAAUAGGAAAACUUGUUUUAACUUACCUAUGAGCCGUUGGCGAUCAAGCUCAUAUAUUUUAAAACAACAAAAAACAUAAUAUUUAAAUUAUAAUCAUCAUAAUCAUCAUCAAAAUCAUUAUAAAAAAUCAAUCAUCAUAAUAAUUAUCAUAAUCAUAAUCAUUAUCAUCAUCAUCAUGCUCAUCAUCAAACUCAAUCAUCAUAAUAAUUAUCAUCAUCAUCAAAAUCAAUCAUCAUAAUAAUUAUCAUCAUCAAAAUCAUUAUCAUCAUAAACAAUUGGUUCCAAGUGAACCCUGGUGAGAUGUUACUCACCUCGAUAUCCCGCUGCGUUUCCGCAAAACACAAUAGCCAAGUUAAACCACAAUCUCACAAAUCACCUAAAAUUACACAAUUAAAAACCUUAGUAAAAACACAACAAGGAUCAAAAUACCCUUAACUUAAAGGUUGCCACAAAGAAGGGCAAUCCUUCCUCCAAGACCUCCCAAGGUCAUUGGACACUUAACAACAACCAUACUACCUCCAAGAUCAAACUUUUUAAGUUUCCGACCUAACGGACACCAUGAACAACUUAGCACCUAAGAUGCAAAAACCUAAUCAACACACUAGCAACUACAAGGACUAGCUAACACAACAACCAAAGCUCUCACACUGCCCGGACGCACUCCCAUGUGCCACCAUAGGCGGCGGCGAGUGAGCCCCAUGCGCCACCCCUAACUUCAAAAUUUGGGGAAACUCUCAACAUGAAACUUGUAGAUUGAAGCAUGGAGAACAACUUUAAUACCUGAGGUUUUAACCUAUGUUGCAUGGAAUCGGAAGCGGAAGCGUUUGGAAACGCGGAAGCGUUUUUAAAAAAAAAAUACUUGGAAGCAGAAGCGUUUUGGAAGCGCAGAAAUAAAAAAAAAAAAAAAAAUAAUUAUAAUAUAAGAAAUAAAAUAUGUAUUUUUACAUUAUUCACCCAACAUAUAUGUAUCCAUAUUAUUUAGAUAAUUAUGAAUAAGAUAAUAUUAUAGAUAAUUAAUAAUAGUGAAUAAUAAACAAAGUACUCAAACAUGAGUACAUGACAACACCCCAGUUCCAACACCCUAUUUAAUUAGGACCAUUUAAUUAAGCAAACUCUAUCCCAGAUUCCCACUAAACAACGAAGAGAAACACCGAAACACUCAAACACCCCAAUUCAAUCAAAAUACUGGACGAAAUUCCCAAACAACAAACCAUCUCUGGAACUGAUCGAAACUCACAGCCAAAGCACUAGUUCACACAAAAUUGGUACUACCCAGCUAACCCGACCCAUCGAUUUGCACCACCCAAGAGCCACAGCGGCGACGACGAGACUGGAGUGAACGACGGCGAGAGAGAGAUGACGACGACGAAUAUAGCCAUGAGAGCCAUCAUUGAAGUUUUUCAGGCGGCCAUUGUGUCUGAUGAUUCUUGAGAAUUGUGUGAAUUGGGUUUUUGAUUUGUAGAGGUAGGGAAGUCGGAAGCUCGCGCUUCCAGAUUGGAAGCUCACGCUUCCAGCCCGCUCCCAAUUCUACUUUUUCCGGAAGCACGCUUCCUGCCGCUUCCUUGAAGCUUACGCUUCGCUUCUGGUUCCGAAGCAGGAAACGGAGGACUCCCAGCGCUUCCGUGCAACGUAGGUUUUAACCAAUUUGGCCGGGAUCGGCCGGAAAAAGCCUCGAACACCACACCGAAACCAAACUUCCAAAUCUGCAUAACCGGGGUUCAAACACUCAAAAACCUGAUUCAAUCUAUGCCUAGUCAUAACCAGAAGGAGGAGAGGACCAAAACUCACCUAUGGUUGCCCCUCGUCGCCGCCGAAAUAGCCGGUUUUCCGGUGAGACAACAGCAGCUCCGCCGCUCCGUGGCGGCUUCUAGGCGACGAGAUGGCGAGCAAGACUGCCCCAGAAAUGGAGAGGGCGUCCGUACGAGUCCAACGAAACUGGCGGCGUCCAAUUUGGUGGUCGGAUGAGGGAGAACUCGACCGGAGAAGAAAGAGAGUGUGGGAGGGUCGGGAGAGAGGAGAGAGAACCCAGAACUGGCUGCUGCAAUUAUAGGGUUUCCAAAAAUAAUUCCCACAUAUUUUUCUACUUAUACCCUUUUCAAAACCGGAAACUAACUUCCUCUGACCAUAAUUUUCUCAUACAACAUCCGUUUUAGGCAUGCCGCAUGUCUACGUACUCGUAUCGACAAACUCUACAACUUUCAAGAAGAAAGUUUUCGAAGAUAACUUACGGAAAAUAAAGUCAACUUUUGACCUCUUAAAAGUUAAAGCACCUUAAAAUUUACUCCUGAACUUCAACUUCGCACAAACUAAAGAAUUUCCAUAAAUAAUCCGUCAUUAAUUAUAGGAAUAAUACAAGGAAAAUUUAUGUGAAAAUCUAGGGUAUUACAAAAAAUCACACAAAUAAGAUUGAAAAUCUCCUGCAUUAAACAUAGUUUAGGAGAUACUCAAAACAAGGAAUUUAAUUGACAACAAUUAAGCACAAUGUUAAAACCACAUAACCAAUACCUUUACAAAUAUACAUGUACCCAUAAGUCCCAAAUACCAAUAAGGUAUCUCCCAUGAUCUACAACAAACACAUGUACCCAUGAGUCUCAGAUAUUAAUAAAUACCUCUCAUGACCUACAACAACAAUUACCCAUGGGUCCAAGAUACCUUCAAGUACCUCCCAUGACCUACACCGACAAACGGACUAGAGCUCUAUUCCUAACUGUAACCAAUAACCCGGCCAAAGGCUUGGAACCCAGUUUGACUGUCCAAUAUCAAAUCACAAAAUAAUAAUUCAUCAUCAUUUUAUCAUCAUAAACCUUAUCAUCAUCACCAUCAUCAUCAUAAUAAUCAUCAUCAACACAAUAAUUAUCAUAAUCAUUUUAUCAUCACAAUUCCAUAAAUAAUUGGUUCCAAGUGAACCUUGGUGAGAUGUUACUCACUUAUAUAUUCCCGCUGCGUCUUCACCAAAAACACAACCAAAAGAGCCAAGCCAAUCACAACUUCACAAAUCACCUAAAAACACACAAUUAAUAACCUUAGUAACAAGAUACUAUAGGAUAUCACAACACCCUUAAACUAACCCUUAGCUCAAGGGAGGAUAACUUCCCAAAGUCGUCGAACUUAACGACAUAAAAAAAAACUGCCUCUAAUCCUCAAAACCUAAACUCAAACCUCACACAAACCUAAGAUUAAACUCAAAGUCCUAACAUGCAAAACUUGCUCAAAACCUAGAAUUUCCACCUCUCAACAAGCUUACAACAACAAGAGCCAGCUAGCCACGGAAAACUAUAGCCACAACUGUAAUACCCUAGAUUUUCAUAUCAAUUUUCCUUGUAUUAUUCCCUUUUUUAAUGAAGGAUUAUUUAUGGAAAUUCUUGGGGUUAUGCGAAGUUGAAGUUUCGGGAGUUUAUUUAAGUGCUUUGACUUUUAAGAGGCCAAAAGUUGACUUUAUUUUCCGUAAGUUAUCUUUGAAAACGUCCUUCAUGAAAGUUGUAGAGUUUGUCGAUUCGAGUUCGUAGACAUGCGGCACGCCUGAAACGGAUGUCGUAUGAAGAAGUUAUGUUCAGAGGAAGUUUGUUUCCGGGUUUGAAAAGAGUAUAAGUAGAAAAAUGUGUGUGGGAUGUUUUUUGGGAACCCUAAAAACAAAGUCAGCCUUUGUUUUCUCUCUUCCCUCUCUUUUCUCUCUUCUCUCUCUCUUCCUCUCCCAAGCUCCCCCGAACUCUCACUUUCUCCGGUCGAGUUCUCCCUCAUCCGGCCACCAAACCGGACGCCACCGGUCCCGUUCGACUCCCACAAGUGCUCUCUUCAAGGCUGGGCAGCUGCUACUCGGUGUGACACGCCGGAACCGGAGCUGUGUUGCCGGAAAGAAGGCUGCUGUGCCACCAGUCGGAACCGCCGUAUACGGCGGCGACGAAGGGCAUCCGUAGGUGAGUCUUGAUCCCCUCCUCCUCCUAGUAGUGUCUAGGCAUAGAUUGAAGCAAGUUUUUGAGGUUUUGAGGCCGAUUUUGCAGGUUUUGUAGUUGAUUUUCUGGUCACGGUUCGGGGCGGUUUCCGGCUGGUUCCGGCCAAAAUUGGUCGAAGUCUCAGGUAUGAAAGUUGUUCCCCUUGCUUCAAGCUUCAACUUUGCUGUUGUGAGUGUCUCCUAAUUCGAAAGUUUGGGGUGGCGCGUGGAGCCCAGGCGGCGGCGCGUCCGGCUGAGUGGCGGCCUUAGUUUCCUGUGGUUAGCUAGUCCUUGCUGCUGUGAGCUUGUAAGUGGUAGUAUGGCUAGAUUUUAAGUAAGGUUGGCAUGCUAGGACUUAAGUUUAUUGGUGUUCAUUAGAUCGGAAACUUAGAAAGUUUGAUCUUGAAGGUAGUUUGGUUGUUGUUGAGUGUUCAAUGACCUUGGGAGGUCUUGGAGGAAGGAUUGCCCUUCUUGGGGGCAACCUUUAAGUUAAGAGUACUUUGAUCCUUGUUAUGUUUGUUACUAAGGUUAUUAUGUGUGUUAUUUUAGAUGAUUUGUGAAAUUGUGAGUUGACUUGCUCUUGUGUUUUGCGGAAACGUAGCGGGCUAUCUAGGUGAGUAAAUCUCACUAAGGUUCACUUUUGAACUGAAUGAUUAUUAUGGUCAUGUGAUGAUGAUAAUGAGGAUAAUAUUGGAUUUAAUAAUAUGCUUUUAAUUGUUUUUAAAAAUAUAUGAGCUUGAUCGUCAACGGCUUAUAGGUAAGAUAAAACAAGUUUUCUUUAAAUGCUAUUUUGAGAUUCAUGUGAUCAUAAUUUUAUUGAUUUUUGGUUAGAUUAUUCUUGUGGAAUAUCUAUAAUUGUUCAUGUAAAUAUAUCCAUGUGGUGGGAUAUAAUUUAUGAUGUGAUAUUGUGUUGUUGAGAAUAAUGAUGUGAUAUUGUGUUGUUGAGGAUAAUGUUGUGAUAUUAUGAUUGUUGGAUAAAUAGCCAAACCGGGUUCCAAGCCCUUAAUUGGGUGAUUGAUUGCGGUUAAGUUGCUAUUUAUCAUUUUUGUGUUUGAUAUUAGAUAGUCAAACCGGGUUUUAAGCCUUUGGCCGGGUGAUUGGUUGCGGUUAGGAAUAGAGCUCUAGGCCGUCUGUCAGUGUAGGUCAUGGGAGAUACUAUAUGGUAUCUGGGACCCAUGGGUACACAUAGUGUUGUUGUAGGUCAUGAGGGGUAUUUUAUUAAAUAUCUGGGACUCAUGGGUACAUUUCUUGGGUAAUGUGUUGGAUGUGUGGUUUUUAAUUAUUGAUCCAAAUCUCUCUUGUGGAAUAUUGGAUGUGAUAAAUGUUGUGUUAUUGUUUGAGUUUACUCAUACGAGCUUUUUAGCUUACCGCACUAGGCCAUAUACAUCAUCAGACGACACUUUUCAGACGACAUAUUUUGGACGAUUUUGAGUUUUUGUCGUCUGAUUAAUUUUUCGACCCUUCAGACGACAUUUAUGAAGUAUAAGUCAUCUAAGUGCCAUGCUCCCUUCAUACUUCUGGAUGUUGCUCAAUUUUUCUGUGAUAUGCAAAAUUUCAGAGGGCAUAUAUAUGUAGUGUAAAAAAGCGACAUUUAACAACUUUAUGCUAAUACGUUGGACAACAUAUAAAAGUUGUCUGUGAAAAAAUGCGAAAUCAACUUUUAAUUCCCUUUUUAUGUACUUCAUCCAACAACAUAUUAAUGCCGUCUGAAAGAACCAUAAAUCUUUGAUUUAUACCUCCAUUUUGAAUCCUUAAAUUCACUUAUUCAGACGACAAACAAAUGGCGUCUAACAAACCCAUAAAAUUGAGUCUGGAAAGAUGCACGAACCUUGUAAUGUAUAACUUUAGACGACAUAUGAAAGUGGUCUCUCUGACCCUGAAAUACUCAAUUUAAUUAAUUAAAUAUUGGGUUUGGUUACCUUUUAAUGUAUUCAAUAAUACGGCAGAUAAAUGUCGUCUGUGGGAACCUGAAAUAUAAGUUUGAAAAAUGGCUCAACCUUUUAAUCUAUUCAUCAGACGAGGUUAAUAUGUCGUCUGUAUGAACUUGAAAUAGUCAAUUCAUUUGAGUUUGGGAGAGGGCGCCAGCGUUAAUGUAUUCAUUGCACAGCAUAAAAAUGUCGUCUGGACCUGAAAUAUUUGAAUUUGGGCGCUAGAGUUUUCCCUCACUUUUCUUCAAUGUGAGACGGCGAUUAUAUGUCGUCUGAGGUUGUAAAAUAAGUGGUCAACAUAAAAUGUGCAUAUUUUCCAAAUGGAAACUCCCUUAUCUCCUCCGACCAAAACUUAUAUUUUUGAUUAACCGGUUUUCAAACUCCCGUUAAGAGUAGGAAAACAGAUCUAUGUAAUAGUUUGGACACUUUGAUGAAACGAUGAUGUACUUCUCCUUGUGGAAGCUAUAAGAAAGUUUAUCUAUAUAUGAAGUUGACUCUAAUGAUCGAGACCUAUAAGUUAUUGAAAAUGGGUAAAUUUUCAUCUACAUACAUAUUUAUGUACUACAAUCAUAUCCAAUGGUCAGAUUAGGUAAAUUUUCUCUCUUGUAUAUAGUUGCCUUAUAAAGAUGUAUGUUUACAAAGAACUUAGUAAACAUGUUAUAGCACAUUAGUACGCAUGUUGUGAUUCGAAUGACGAAAAUAGAUUUUUUUAAGUUUGAGUGUCAGAUGUUAUCAUGAUAGUGAAUUAUGGAUGUAGAACAAAAUUCAUGCAUUUUCGAUAAAGUUCGCGUCUCGGUCGAUGCGGUCAACGUUAAUCGAAUCUUCCUUAGUAACUUCAGAUGACAUAUAUAUGUCGUCUGAGCAAUAUUUUUAAAAGUCAACACUUUUAUCUAAAUGAAAACGCUCUUAUCUAGACCAAACAAUACUUAAAGUUGGGAUUCGUCAAUUCUUAUACCAUCAUUUAGUGUCAACGAAAUUAUUUUAUGCGAACAUUUAGACCCGUUUAUCGACCAAUCAUAUAGCUCCCCAUGAGGAAGAAUAGAAACGUUUAUGUAUAUAUGAAGUUGACUCUAAUGAUCGAGACCUAUAAGUUAUCGAAAAUGGGUAAGUUUUCUACCACAUACUUAUUUAAGUACUACGAUCAUAUUCAACGGUCUGAUUAGGUAAAUUUUGUUUCUUGCAUAUAAUUGCCUUAUAAAGAUGUAUGUUUAUAAAUAACUUAAUAAACAUGUUAUUGCACAUUAGUACGCAUGUUGUGAUUCAAAUGACGAAAAUAGAUUUUUUUCAAGUUUGAGUGUCAGAUGUCAUUAUGAUAGUGAAUUAUGGAUAUAGAACAAAAUUCAUGCAUUUUCGAUAAAGUUCGCUUCUCGGUCGAUGCAAUCAACGUUAAUCGAAUCUUGCUUAGUAACUUCAGACGACAUAUAUAUGUCGUUUGAGCAAUAUUUUUAAAAGUCAACACUUUUAUCUAAACGAAAACGCUCUUAUCUAGACCGGCCAAUACUUAAAUAUGGGAUUCGUCAAUUCUUAUAUCUUCAUUUAGUGUCAACAAAACUAUCCAAUGUGAACAUUCUAACAUGUUUAUCGACCGAUCAUAUUGCUCCCCACAAGGAAAAAUAGGAAAGUUUAUGUAUAAAUGAAGUUGACUCUAAUGAUCGAGACCCAUAAGUUAUCGAAAAUAGGUAAGUUUUUUACCACAUAUAUAUUUAACUACUGCGAUUAUAUCAAACGGUCAGAAUUACUCUCGGUUUAUUUUUCGGACACCCGGAUCAUUUUGUACAUAUUUUUAACUUAUAGCCUAUUUAAAAUUAUAAUUUCUAAUCUAGAAACCUAUCAUUAAAUCUCAGUCUUCUAUUCCAUCUCUUCUAAUCUGAACCAUUUACUCAAGCUUCAAAACCUAAAAACCCUAACUCUUCUUUCAUUAUGUUGAACGCCUCCCUCCCCCUUUCUCUCUUGUUUCUCUCUUCUCUUUCGAACUCGAAGAGAGAAGUUAAACCCAAUCAGUAAUCUUAUUCUUCUAUAUAUAAAUCCAAUCCUAUCAGAUGCAGCAUCUAAUUUCCUUGAGUCUAAUCUUUCGUUUGUUAUUUCAAUCGUAUCGGAUUCUCUGUUCAAGUCUAUUCAGUUCGAGGUAUGCAGCAGGCUGAUCAAUCGGUGUUGAGCUUGAGACCUGGUGGUGGUCGUGGCGGUCCUAGACUCCUUGGUCCUCGCUUUGACUCUUCUACUGCUGCGUCUUCUUCUCUUGCUUUCAAGUCCUUCUCUUAUGCCUCCCCCGGUUCCCAAAAAGCUCUCGUCCCAGGAUAUUGACUCCUCUCAAUCUCAACCCGCCACCCUCGGAUCUCUCUGGAAUCGGGUAUUCUUCGUAUUCUCUUUUUUCGAUCAGUCUCUAAAUCUUAGAUUCGCACUUAUUAGUCUAACAACAUGUAUGUUCCUAUUUAGGCUGGAACUUGGGAGGAGAAGAAUGUCAAUAAAUGGGCGACGGAUACAAUAAAGGUACCCUUUUGUUGAGCUGCUACCUUCUUCAUUAUCAUUGCUUUAGCUUUGAAAUUAAAUGAUUAGCUCUUUUGCAGGAGUUGCUUGCAUCAGUGGGUUCCAUGGAGUUCCAAGGGGGCAGUGCAGAAAUAUCAGAUGUCUCAAAAUGCGUAGGGGAUGUGGGUCUUAAUUAAUUUUGUCAUUGUUAUUGUAUGCCAAAUUCCAUUUAUGAGAAAGCUGAUUCUAGGAAUUUCUUUUCAUUCCUAAAACAUAUCUAUUGUUCCAGAGCUUUGGAUUUAUCGUAUUCAAUUGUCAUGCUCACUAAAUUCACCGUUCCAUUUUGUUUUUCUUCUUUUCCCUAAUCUUUGUCAUGUUUCAUUCCUUAAUUAUGUUAUUUCAGUUGAGACUAGAGGUUAUUAUCCUGUUGAGUCUGGUGAUACAGUACUAGCCUAAUGACUCAUCAUCUCUCACGAGUUGAUCUUUACUGAGUGAUCAGGCAUUCUUGGUGACUGUGUGAAACAAGAAACGUGUCAGCUACACAUAUGAACUAACCCUGAAAUUCAAAGGUAAUUGGCUGCAUUGUAUAAAUGUUUCUUUUCUUCUUUCUCUAUGGUUUAUCUGAAAUUUACAUUAUCAGGGGAAUGGAUUACCGGAGAGGAGAAAAAGAUGGUCAAGGGCCACAUAGACAUCCCAGAUGUUCCAAUGGUAAGGGUUGAUAUUAUACUUUCUAGUUUAUAUGGGGAAGCAUUGUACGUCUGAUCUGGUACUACUUAUAUGUCGUAGUUGGAAACUUUACUUUACAAAGUCAUCCAAAGAAUGUGCCUGAUUUAUAUAUAGUAAUGUUAUCUACAAAUAUUUUAACUUCUAAUGUAACUUGGAUCAUUUUAUUCUUUUGGCUGCAUCAGUUGGUAGAGUCUGUCUAACCAAGGUUGUCAAGGAAUUCAAGAAACGCAUUUCCAGCCAACAUGAAUGGGUAUGAUGGUCUUUCUCCAUUAAACUAUUCCUUUCCUUCUUAACGUUAUUGAUACUGCCUAUUUUAAAGAAAUUCUUACAUAUUGCAUGUACUAGUGACUCGUGUGAACAUAAAUUUGGUUUUCCCUUUUCUUUUUAUCAUCUAUUUGGCAGAUCAGUUCUUGCAAUGAGAGUGGAACUUUGGCAGAUUUUUGACAGGACAUAGGAGAAAGGAAUGUGAUUUAAAGUUGCCGGAGGAGCAAUGAAAAUGUAGUUGUAUAUAGAUUAGGACAAGUUGGUAUUGUAGCUAUUUUCAUGGAUUCCUACACUUCAAAUGAUUUUGUGAAGUGGAUUAUCAAAGUUCAAUGAAGUGUUUCUUUUGUUCUUUUAUUCUUGGUUUUUCUUUAUAUAUGAAGUUCAAUUUAUAGCGACAACAUAUAUGUGUUUAUAACAAGCAACAUAACCUCAACACAAAUAUGCAGUGUGAGCUGGAGUCACAAGACAAAAUGUUGAUUGAACGUUUUUUAUUUUUCAAUCACACGACACUUAAAUGUUGAGUGAAGCACCUCGGCACGACAAAAACCAUGAUAAACUAUGAUAAUGCUUCUUUCAGACAACAUUUAAAUGUGGUUACAUUGUAGAGUCUAAGCGGAAAAGUUAAAAGUUUGUGGUAGGAAUAGAAUUGAAAGUACAAUUAAAUGUCGUCUGACAGAACAACUAGCAAAAUGUAUAAUAGUUUACAAAGUUAGAUGACAGAUAAGUGACAUUAGAUCUUCUAUAUAACCACAUAUAUUACAAAUUUUUGACGUUGUAAGCUCACACACUCAACACUUUAUUGAAGUGUGAUUAGAUAGAAAAAUCCAAUAAAUCAAAUUAUUCUUCAAUCAGUCCACACUUAUAUGUGGUAGGUAUACAAAACAGACGACAUUUGAUGUGUCUUGUGAUAUGAUAUUACAAUUUUUUGAUGUUGAUUUAGUCCACACUUAACUGUGAUGCGUUUACUGAAAUUUUUCAAUCUUCUCUCUUCUCAGACGACAUAAGAUAUGUCGUGUGAUGUCGUAUCAGACGACGGCUAUUCUCCGUCGUCUGAUAGUCCAUCACUCGACAGCUCCUCAGACGACAUAAAAAAAAACAUCAGACUACAGACUUGGACUGUCGUCUGAUGAAGUAUAUGGCCUAGUGCCGGGUUUGUUGUUUACAACCCGGUGCACCAUUUCUUGGUGUAGGGGUUAGACCUGCAGGUGAGGAUCAGUAGGGUUGAGGUGGAAGAUUAGUGGCAGGGUUUUUUUUUGUUGGGUUUUGGUUGUUCAUUGUAUAUUCUUUUUUUUUAUACAUUGGGAUAGAAAUUAUUAAACUCAUGUGAGUGUUUCAUUUUCUUGUCUCUCAAGUUAUGUAAACAAGGAAAUAUAAUAUUUAACUCAAUUUGGAGUUGUGUGUAAAUUUACAUUCCGCAUUGAGUUUAUUUUCCUUGAAUUUUGUUGAAACAGGUUUUGGGAUAUUAAUAUUUUAAGAUAUAUCAUGCCAAAAUUUUAAAAAUUAUCUUUCGAAAAUUGGGGUGUGACAACAACACAGCAGGACGCGCUGCCACGGGCCGCCAAUGGCGGCGGCGAGUGAGCCCCACGCGCCACCACCAACUUUCAAAUUUGAGAAAACUUACAACAGCAAAGUUGAAGCUUGAAGCAAGGUGAACAACUUUAAUACUUGAGGUUUCAACCAGUUCGGCCAAAAAUAGCCGAAAAACGCCACGAAACACCAACCCGAAUUCAAAAUCCAAACCUGCAAAUCCGGCGCCCAAACUUGAUUUUUAGGUCACCAAAGAGGUAUAAACAUCUCUAGAGGAAGGAGAGGAGCAAGACUCACCUAACUCUUACCGAAAACGCCGUCGAAAUCGCCGGAUUUCCGGCGAUACCGUAGCAUCUCCGCCACUUUAUGGCGGCAUCUAGGCGGCGAGACGGUAGGCGGUGUUGCCCCAGAAAUGGAGAGGGAACCUGCACGAGUCGAAUGGGACCGAUGGAGUCCGGUUUGGUGGCCGGAUGAGGGAGAACUCGGCUGGAGAAGAGAGAGAGCUCGGGAGCGUCGGGAGAGAGAGGAGAGAGAGAAGUGAGCUGACUUUUAGGGUUUCCAAAUUAACCCACACACAUUUUUCUACUUACACACUUUCCAAACCCGAAAACUAACUUCCUCUGCCUAUAACUUUCUCAUACGACAUCUGUUUCAGGCGUGCCGCAUUUUUACGAACUUGUAUCAACAAGCUCUACAACUUUCAAGAAGGAAGUUUUCGAAGAUAACUUACGGAAAAUAAAGUCAACUUUUGGCCUCUUAAAAGUCAAAGCACCUUAAAAUUUACUCCCGAAACUUCAACUUCGCACAACUAAAGAAUUUUCACAAAUAAUCCUUCAUUAAUUAUGGGAAUAAUACAAGAAAAAUGAAAUGAAAAUUUUGGGGUAUUACAGGGAAUACAUGGAGUUGAGGCAUAGUUAAUACUAUAGCUUCCGCUUAUUUGUAUAUAUAUAUAUAUAUUUUUUUGUUUUUUUGUUUUUUACCAUUAGAGUUGCUAUGAAAUAAUUAUGAAUGUUGGUUAUUGGACUAUUUUUUUAGAUUAGUAAAUAACUUGAGAGGUUUUGUGAAUUUGGGGAGUAUGAAGGCUCCAAGAGUAUAUAAGGUUGGAGUUUGAUUUUUAGAAGUGUUUGAAAAUGUUUUUUUUUAAUUUUUUAGGAAGGGUUGUCCAUUUUCAAGGGAGGUUAUGCCGAAUUUUUGGUAGCAUCUUUUUUGGAGGUGGUCCCGGUAGAGUUCAUUUCGGGGUGGUCCUGACAAUAUUUAUUGUAAAGUAAUAUAAGUUUUGAUGGUAAAGUAUUAUGGUGUGUUUGGAUACGGGUGAAUUCCUAGGAAUUUAAUCAAAAAUAAGGAAUUCUUAAUUUCUCAAGACUCUUUCCAUCGUUUGGAUUCUUAUUCCGUAGAAUUUUCCAUGGGAAAAUAAUCGUGGAAUUUGGGGGCUUAAAUUCCCGACUUAAAUUCCUCACAAAAUAGGCGUCAUUUGUCAAUUCUUUUAACUCAUGUUAGUCUAAAUACAAAUUCUUGUCAUUUUAAAACUCUACAUCAUAUAAUCCAAAGAAUAGAAUUUCCAAUUAAUAGAAUUUAAAUUCAAGGAAUUGUAAUUCCAGUGAUUUUAAAAUUUCUAUAGAAAUUGAAAUUAUUUUAUCUAAAUACAACAAAGUAAUAUAUGGUUAGUGGUAUAUAUUAUUUCAUUGCAAAUUAGCUAUGUUAUAUGAACUGAUACUUCAUUCAUUAGCUCUGCAUGGUAACUAGAGUGCUUAUAUAUAUUUUUUAAUGUUCCUUGUACUUAUUCACUGCAAUGUAAAAUAUUAAAUAUAUGAAUAUAUCUUAUGAUCAUUUCAGUUUAAGGACAAGACAUACAAUCAACGAAAUAAUGAACCAAGUAGCUUUAGAUUAUUAUACAUUUCAUUCUUUUCAGUCAUUUGAAUGUUGUUUCAUUAUCUAAGCUAUUAAGUAGAAACCAAGUAGCUCAUACUGAAUAUAAUAGGAUGUACUAAACCAGUUACCACUUUGCUGUUUCAAUCAUAUUGAUAAUGAUUUCCAGCAACAAAAGGCUUUGUUUUUUUUAAGAAAAACUUACUAAAGCAUUGUUAUAUUCAGUUUGGCAGGAGACACUUGAUGAGUAAAUGGUGGAUAUUGAGUUUGGUUAUGAAGCAGGAUGUAUCAUAGUACACCAUUACAGUUAGGAGGACUUUCUGCACUCUAGUGUACACCCACCAUUGUAGUUGCUUGUAUUUGGUUUGAUGUCUCUUUUUUGUAGUUUUUCAAGUUAUAUAUGGAACGACAAUUGUAGAUGUAUUAUAGGUCUUUUGAGAAAUAUUAGUAUAGAAAUGGAUCAAACACAGAUAGAACAAGUAAUUUCAAUGGCUUGGUGCAAAACCUCAAUGAGGGAAAAAGCACCAAGCAUGAUUAUUCCUUUAAUCUUCAAAAGAUUACAAGUGGUAAUUCUCACACAAUUACACAACUCAUACAAUGUUUUCUCUUCUUACUUCUCACACAAGUAACUUAAUUCAAGUAGCUCUAUCAAGUGAAAUUGAAUUGAAAUUCUGAGAUCUCACUCACUCAGCUAUACUAGUUCUCACACAACUAAUACAUACUGCAACUAAUUCUCACACAAUUAGUCUUUAUACAGCAACAACUAAGACUCAAACACUCUUACUUCUUCUCUCAGAAUUUAUCGCACAUCAAGAUGAUACUCUGAUGAAUAGCUUGAUUCUUUAACACAACCAGUUUCUCAGCUUCUUUUAGACUCGACUUCUCAGUAUGUUUUUGUUCUCAAAACUCAAAUGCAACCUGUAUGCAAGUAAGAAAAGAGAAACUCAGUCUAUCUUAGAUAUACACAAUCUUAGAUAUACACAAGUAGUUUGUAAGAUGAGCAUGAACACACAAUUAACUUAGAGACAAUGCUUAACACAGUUUUUUCUCAAUCAUACCAAAAAGCUUAUCUUUCUAAGCACAACAGAAGCAAUUUAUAGAGUGUGAAACACUCCCCCUUAACUGAUGCCUUUCAAUGACAAGAUCAAAUUUCGUUUAUGAAAAUAUGCAAUCAGUCCACCAACAGUUUGCACUUUCCAAAACGCAUAUACCAGUUUCAUGCUAUAACAUAACCAUUAGAUAAAACAUAAAUCAUUUUCUUAAUCACCUGAGAACAAUGAUUAUGCAUAUAGAAUCAGACAUGUUUAUGCAGGUACUGAUAUGUACAUUACUGAUAUGGAAAUAAGAUAUCCUGCAUAUUAUCAAUUAAUGUUUCCGAAAUGGAAGUCUUUAGAAAUAAGACUUUUCCAAAAUUUCAUCAUUCAAAAACUUAUCAACUUGAAAGCCAGAUCUACUUACCAUAUAUGAGAUAUUAAAAUCUCAUUACCUUGAUCUUUUGACAUGAUACCUUUGAUUAUAUCUUUGAACUAGACUUUAUGAUUUUUCUUGAUAUGAAAUCUUCUUUCCUCUUUUCCUUCCUUCAUUAGGAGUCCUUGUGUUGAAUAGGAAUAGCCAAUAUGCCAACAUUUUCCCCCGUUGGCAUUGCUAUUCAACACAAGAUCAAGACCUGUAAAACAGACACAGAACCAACAUAUAUAUACAGAAAGGAAAGCAGGCUUAAAGAUUUUCGAAUUAGUAUCCAUCAUUUUCUCAAUCUUCAAGAUAAAAAUCAAAAGAAGACACAAAAUAAUAAAUGACUGCAUGCAUAGUUCAAAGAAAACACAAAAUAUGUCUAGUGCUUAGGCACUUUUACAAACUAGAAAUAAGAUUUGAUGUUCUAGUCAUCGAAAAUCAAAAAGCAGAAAAUAAAACAAGAAAAUUGUUGUUGAUCCUUGAUCUUAAACAAGCAAACUGUUCUUGAUCCUUGAUCUUAUUCUCCCCUUGAAUAGCAAGCCAAAGAAAUAAUUACCACUUGCCCCAUUUAUCUUCAUCUGAAUAUUUCAUCUUUUCUUCUAGCUCCCAAGGAUUGAAUGGUUUCUUGGAACGAGGGUCAGCAGCCUCAUCCUCCUUCAUGAAAUCAAGAGAGCGCUUGGCACUUGAUGGUUCUGCAGUAGAAGCUUUUGGUUGAAAACCAAGAGGAACAUCUGAGUCAGCAAUGCUAGGAAGAUGGUGAGUAAGUUCAUUGAUUCUCCUUCCCAUGAUCAGAACAGCUUCAGUAAGAGCACCAAUCUAAGUCUGAAUGUCUUGUGCUCAGUCACUGGUCACCUUUUCCAAAGAAUCAAGAUAGACUGCUAUCUUGUUAGGAUCUGAAUCAUUUUCUAGGGGCACCAUAGGACGCCAUGGUUUGCCUUCAUACCAAGUGCCCGGGAAUGUCUUUGCCUUGUGAAACUCUGAAUGAAGCCUUGGAGAGAGAGGUGGAGGAGAAGAUUCAUCUAGAGGAGAGGGCACUGGCCUCCCUAUCCUAUCUAGAGAAAGGUUGGGAAGCAUUGGUUGUUUAUCCUUUGCCAUCAAAUAUCUGAAGUGAUUCCUGCACACAAAAACUGAAAAACCUAGUGAAGAAACUGUGUGGGGAAUGAAAAACUGCAGAGGCACCUCUUUAUAGGAAGGAAUACAGAAGUUGAAAAGGAAUGACGGUUCCUGAAAAGGCAUGCAAUAUCAAUGGACUUUAUUAGCAAUAUUGACUACCAUAACAAAUUUUCUUCAGUUCAAAGCCCAUUCCACAUGUCCACACAAUUUGAAAGACCAGAAAAAGUGGAAAAACAGAUGCAAAUCUCUAUUGCAAUCUUUUAGACUAACUCUGAAUCUCCUCUCAUUAGUGAAGGGAGAAAAUAAUUAAGGCAAAACACACAAUGAAGUAGAAGAAAUUUCUGUGUUGUUCAUAACUAAGCAAAGAUAAGAUCAACAAUCAAUUGUAUCCCUGUGUGUCUCAGCAGAAGUAGAAUUUGAGCCAAGUGACAGUUAGGAAUAGACAUGAAUAUUCUCAGAAAGGAUUCUUAUUUUUAGCAGGAGUUACAAACAACAACCAACUUUGUUCAUAACAACUAAAAAUACCAAGUGAUCAAGCCAUUCCUGUUUCUCCCCCAGUGUCUUAUAUUGUUCAUCACAACCAAGACAUGGUUACUUUAGGAAUAGCCUGGCCUGAAUGUGAGAUUCUUAUGUUUUUAUCUCACAUAUUAUGAACACCUAUAGAGUAAGUCAAAUGCAGCAACUCCCAAAUCAGUUGAUUUUAGGGUACAAGAUAUCCCAAGGCAUCAAUACUCAAGUGUCUGAUCAUUUUAGCCAAACCAGCUUUGAUCAACCUCCAUGCAUAUCAGCUAUUUAAAGAGGCCGCAAAUUUACUGCAAACAAUCAGCUUUUGGUCACAUUCUUUUGCAUUCUCUUAAUCACAUUUCCCUUUUUGCAAUUAUUGUUCCUAUCCCUGAGAAAUAUCAUGUCCAUUGUGUGUGUGUGCUGGCAUCAAAAGGUAUUUCUUGACAAGGCAUACAAGCAUCAAAAAUAUUAACCAGACUCACACCAUAUUUAGUUAUGAACAACCAUCUGAUUUCUACACAUCAUGGAGCUAAGAUCAAUAAUCAAAGACAAACUGUACAUAUGUUAUAAGAACCAUUUCAAGAGUUUAGACAUUAAGAUAGGGAUUUUUGCAAAUGCCUAAAGCAUUUCUGAGUUCUUCAAAUCGAUCGGUAGCAAGGGGUUUAGUGAAAAUAUCACCAAGUUGAUUAGCAGUAGAUAUGUAUUCCAUUUUUAGAAUAUGUUUCUCAACUAGAUCUCUGAUAAAAUGAUACCUGAUAGCAAUGUGCUUAGUCUUCGAGUGUUGCACUGGAUUUUUUGUGAUGUUGAUUGCACUGGUGUUGUCACACAGAUUAGUGUUGUCACACAGAUUAGUGAACUUACCUUGUGACAUCCUAUAGUUCCUUAGCAUAUUUUGCAUCCCCAACAUUUGAGUACAGCAGCUACCAGCUGCUACAUAUUCUGACUCAGUUGUAGACAAAGAUAUACAAUUUUGCUUUUUGCUAUGCCAAGCAACCAUAUUGUUUCCCAAGAAAAAACAUCCACAUGAUGUGCUCUUGUUAUCUUUAAGACUUCCUCCCCAAUCAACAUCUGAAUAACUAACAAUCUCUGCAUUAGUAUCACAAGUAUAUCUAAUUCCACAUGAAACUGUACCUGACACACAUCGAAUGAUUCUCUUGACUGCAGCUAAGUGUGAUUCUUUUGGAUUUGCUUGAAAUCUUGCACACACCCCAAGACUGAAUGAAAUGUCUGGUCUGCUUGCAGUGAGGUAAAGAAGACUGCCUAUCAUGCUUUGAUAUAAGGUUUGAUCUACUGGUUUCUCUUCUUUAUCAUGACAAAGUUUGACUGAAACACUUAUUGGAUUUGAAAUGCACUUCUUUGUUUCAAGACCAAACUUCUUCACCAAGUUCUCAGCAUACUUUGUUUGAGAUAAAAACAUUCUUGUAUCAUGUUGCUUUAUUUGAAGGCCAAGAAAAUAUAUUAAUUCACCACACAUGCUCAUUUCAAAUUCAUUGGUCAUAACAGAAGUAAACUGUUGGACCAAAGAAUCUGAAGUAGAGCCAAAAACAAUAUGAUCAACAUAUACUUGAGCAACCAUAAAAUGUUCUUUUUCAGUACGCACAAACAGUGUUUUAUCAACUUUACCUCUUGCAUAUCCUUUACCUACCAAAUAUGUAGAUAACUUGUCAUACCAUGCCUUGGAGCUUGUUUGAGACCAUACAAGGCUUUCUUUAGCUUGUACACAUGAUUAGGAUGAUGUGGAUCUUGAAAACCUUUAGGUUGUUCCACAAAGACUUCCCUCCUCUAGAAGACCAUUUAAGAAUGCAGUUUUGACAUCCAUUUGAUAGAGCUUGAAUCCUAGAUGACAUGCUAUUGCUAGUAGUAAUCUUAUGGAUUUAAGUCUAGCUAUUGGUGCAAAAGUCUCAUCAAAAUCCAAACCUUCAACUUGUGAGUAUCCUUGACCCACUAGCCUGGCUUUGUUUCUCACAACAUUUCCAUGCUCAUCACUUUUAUUUCUGUAGAUCCAUUUAGUUCCUACCACAUUUCUUGUUGUUGGUCUAGGAACUGGAUCCCACACUUGAUUUCUUGUGAACUGAAGCAAUUCCUCUUCCAUUGCCUUGAUCCAGUUAUCAUCUGUAAGAGCUUCCUUCACAUUCUUAGGUUCAAUUAGUGAGACAAAACCAAAAUGAGAAAUAAUAUUGAUAUUUCCUUGAUUUUGAUUUAGAAAACAUACCAAUGUUGCAUCCUUAAUUACCUCUCCUUAAGUUGCUCGUCUUCUGGUUAUAAUUCCUUCUUGCAUGUUUCCAAUAACAUCUAUCAUAGAAUGAUCCUUUUUUACUUGUCUAAAACCAGUUCUUGUUUUAGGCACUUGUUGGAGAUUUGAAUCAAUAGACUCAUCAGCUUCACUUCCAGUUUCAGCCUUACCAUUUAACUCAGUUUGAUCAUGAUCGGUAGUUUGACUGUCAUCUAAUAUUAUCUGUCUAUCAAAAAAUUCAUCCACAUACACAUUAAUAGAGACUAGGAAAGAUUUUGUUUCUUGUACACCCUAUAAGCUCGGCUAUUUAAGGAAUAUCCCAGAAAAAUACCAAUUUCACUUCUUGUUUCAAAUUUUCCCAAAUAUUGUCUAUCCUUGAAAAUGUAACAUGGAUUUCCAAAAACAUGCAAAUGACUUACAUUGGGUUUCUUACCUUUCCACAGCUCAUAGGGAGUAUUGUUGGUGCCAGGUCUGAGCAUUACCCUAUUUAUGAUAUAGCAUGCUGUGUUGAUUGCCUCAGCCCAAAUUUUUUGACUCAGUCCAGAAGAGUGCAACAUCACUCUUGCCAUGUCCAGUAGAGCUCUAUUUUUUCUUUCAACAAUACCAUUCUAUUGUGGAGUAGUAGGAGCUGAAAAGUUUCACCUUUAUCUGCAAGAAAAUAUACCCACGUAAAUCUUGUAAAAUCAUCAACAACAACCAAAAUAUAGCUCUUUCCUAUAUGACUUUCAUAUUGAGAUGGACCCAUUAGAUCCAUGUGCAGUAGCUCCAUUGCUUGAGAUGUAGGAAUUGAGUUGAUACUUUUAUAUGCAGAUCUUAACUGUUUCCCCAUUUUACAUCCUCCACAGAUUUUAUCUGUUCUAUCUCUGAGUUUUGGCAUGCCUCUUACAAUUCCUUGAUUUGACAAUUUUAACAAGUCCUGAAAGUUUACAUGACCAAGUCUUCUAUGCCAAAGAUCAAAAAUUUCCUCUGUGGAACUUGUUCCCAUACACAUCUGCACAUCAGGUGAAUCAUUAGCUAAUACAUGAUAUGACACGACCCACCCCGAAUUUCACCCUGAAACCCGGAGUAAGUCGUGCGGGGACCAUCUCCAAGGAAAAUUUACUGAAAAGAUUGAUAAAAUCUCCCUUGAAAAUGGACAACCCUAACUCGAAAAUUUCAAAAUACACUCUUAAUACAACACGUCCAAACAUCAUAUAAUUAACCUUCAGAAAUUCUAAACAUAAAAUACAGUAAUCCCAAAGUAUUCAGAGCUACUAGACACUAGCGGAAGCGAGAAAACACGAGUAGGUUAAACAUGUAACCUACUGAUGAAAACUGGCGGAAAUACGGGUGACUAUGCCUCGCCUCCUACUAGAUCCAACCCGAACUCUGCAGACUGGGCAAUUUAAAACGAAGAGCCCAGGGGAAAACAUGUGGAACAGUUAGAGUGAGUGGACAAAAAUAAAUUAAAAUAAAAGUAUUUCUUUAUGCUUCCCCAAUUUAAUUUCCAAAUAAAAUAAUACUGCAUGCAAUCGCUCAAAAGCGCUCAACUCAAAAACUGGCAACUUCACAACCAGCACCGGCUAGUCUCCAAAACUUAAUAAAAUACAGCAUCUCAAGCUAAAUUAUAUAUAAACAUAUAUAAGUGUAUGUAUUUACACUAGUCAGACUCCUUGUAUGAAUUCUAAAAACAAAUUAGAAAAAUAGAAAUUCAUAGAAGGUUACUAAGCUUGCGUCUAACGCUCACGUCACACCAUAAUGGAAUUGUAUCUCAGUAUGGCGAAAAAAGCACGAGUGUAUAUAUGUGUGGACUCCCUAUAUGAAAACCUAAAUAAACCAAAUAAGAAAAUAGUUUUCAUAUAGGGCUACUACGCUUGUGUCUAACACUCACGUCACACCAUAAUGGUAUUUUACCUCAUUAUGGCGGAUCAAACACGUAUGGCUAGCUAGCAUUUAUAUAUACAUACUAUCAUCAUAAACAUCCAAUAAACAUAUCCACCGAAAAUCUCAUUUUCGGGAUCUCUCCAAAGGAGGAAAAUUGCCAAAUAUCCGAGAAAUAAAUAAAUCUCAGGAAAAGAAAUAAAUGAUCAACAGAUAAUUCAUCGCAUGCUUUUCAAUUAAAAUAAAGGUCCACUCACAACUUAGGCCUAAGCCUGAUGACGCUCCGAGGCUUCCUCUGCUCGGGCCUCCUCUCGUCCUGUUCCAAAUAUAUAAUUAAUUUCCCACCAAAAAUCCAAUAAUUAAACAAAAUGGGCAAAAUUAAACGUGAGCCUCCCACACACUCAUCAUUGCCCAAAUUCGCCAUUCUUAACUCAAUACGGCUCAAACUUCGCCGAACAUACCGGCAGCCGUAAAAACAACUUCCCACAGAAUACGACUUAAAUCCUACGGCCGGAUUCUACAUUAAUUAACCGUCAAAAAAUACCAAAGUAAAUAACCGUAAAAUAACUUAAGAACCGGGGUGUGACAUGAUAACAAUUAUCAACUGAUCUAACUCCACCCAUUAUGUAGUCUCUCUUGUUGUUCAGAACUUGACACUUCUUUUUGUUGAACCAAACAUCUUCAAAAUCAUUUGUCAGUUGACUAAAACUCAGUAAAUUUGUAUUCAAACCUUCAACAUACAAUACAUUUUCAAGGUUUGGAAUGUUUGGUGUGUUGACAAUCCAUUUUCCUUUGAUUCCUGCUUGUCCUCCAUCACCAAAUGUAAUAGUACCUGAAAUAUUUCUGUUAGUGAAAGAAAUAAACCAUUCUUUGUUACCACACAUGUGUCUUGAACACUCACUGUCUAUGUACCACACAUCACUCUUUUUGCUGGAUAAAGCAGUCAAUGCAACUAAGCAGGUUGCCAUAAUAUGAGUUUCAUUUGAGUAGACAGAUGCACUCAGGCAAAAAGCUUGUAUUUCUUCCUUCUCUUCAUUCCUUGUCCAGCAUUUCACUCCUCUUCUUUCCUGCAUUCUUUCUUCAUAAAUCAUGUUAGACAUUUGACGAAUAAGGUUCAUACGUUCAUUCAUUUCUUUAUGUAGAAUUUCAAAUUUAUCACCCUUAGCAGUAUAUUGAGAAGAUCCAUUUAUGCAAUUUGGUCUGAUAUGACCAAUCUGUCCAUAGUGAUAACAAGUAAGAACAAAAGGUUUCCUCGAAACAUACCUUUUCUCAGUCGAUUUAGGAAUGACUAUUUUUACUUGUUGUUUUUCUUCAGUUUCCAACACUAGUUGUUCUUCCCCUUUUUCUUUAACAAACCUUGUGACAUUGGAGCUUUCACCAGUGUAUCCAAGUCCAAAUGUAUCCUUAUGUGCUUUUCCUAUACUGAGAAUAUUUGAGACUAUCUUUGAACUUGUUUGAAAUUGACUAAAUUUUUCCCUUGACUUUCUCAACUCAGCCUGCAACAAAACAAUUUCAGAGUUUAGCUCAUUAAUUUUCAAAUCUCUUAACUCUAUUUUAGAUUCUAAAUUUACACAACUACUGCUAAUGAACCAGUGUUUUUGAUAUUUUCAUUCUUCAACUCAGUUUGCAACUUUUGAAUACUGUUGUUGAACUCAUUUCUUUCAUUUUCCCAAAACUCCUAUUCAGACUGCAAUAUGUUUUCAGUUUUCUCUUGCUGUUCUGGUUCCUGGAGAACCUUCACCUGUUUCUUCAAGACAUUAUUCUUGUUGUUCAAGAUUUUUGAGGCAUUGUACAAUUGAUCAUAUUUGUCGUCUAGUUUCCUCCUGUCAAAAAAAUCAUCACUAGAAUCAUCAUCACUAGAACACACACUGUCAGUAUCAGAAAAAGACUCACAUGAGUCAAAUCUUAUAGAAGAAACGAAAGCAAAGUUCCUUUCUCCUUUUCUGAGGGAAUGUUCUUCAUCACUAUCACUCUAGGAAGUAGCUUUGAGUGCCCUUUUUUCACCAGUGCCCCUAUCCUUGAAUUUUUCACCUGCUUCAUUCUUUCUAUUCCCACAAUCAGUUGAAAUAUGACCAUAACCAUCACAUUCAAAGCAUUUCGGUCUAUAAUUCUUCAUUUCAAGCUUGUUAUGACUUCUAGAGUUUUUCUCAAAUCGAUUUUCAGAAUUUUUAUUUCUUCUUGAAUCAUGAAAGUUUUUAGAAGAACUAGAAUUUUGAUUGUUCCUAGAUUUCAAAAGUUUUUUGAAUUCCUUUGUGAGCAAAGCAUAAUCAAUAUUUUCAUCUUCCUGAUCAAUUUUAGAAGAGUUUUUCAAAGCCACACUCUUCUGUUUCUUAUCAGACCAAGAGCUAUCAGCAAUCAUUUUUAAUUCAAAGGUUUUAAGAUUACUUACUAAAUAUUCCAGAGAAUAUUUAUUUAAAUUGUGUACCUCCAUGAUAGCUGCCUUCUUGGGAAGGUACUUCCUUGGCAAAGCUCUAAGAAAUUUUUUCACCACCUUGUGCUCCUCAAACGGUUCAUUCAAGCUCUGACAUUGACCUAUAAUGUUAGUUACCCUUAAAUAAAAAUCAUUAAGCAACUCAUCCUCACCCAUUUUUAAAUUUUCAAAUUCUUUAGCAAGAAUCUGAAGUUUCUGGAUUUUGACAAUCUCACAUCCUUCAUGUGAAGUAACAAGCAUGUCCCAAGCUUCCUUUGCAGUGUCACAGUAUUGAAUACGCCUUCUUUCCUUAACACCAAGUGCAGUGAAUAAUGCAUUUUUAGCAACAUAAUCAGCAUUACAUAAGGCUUGCUCAUCUGCUGACCACAAGUCGACUGGUUUUAAUUGAACUCUAGAUGUAUUCUCUGAUUUCACAACUGGAGCUUUGUAACCUGAUUGAAUAAUUUUCCAUGCCUUUGCAUCCAAGGUGUAUAUGAAUGUUCUCAUCAUGAUCUUCCACUGUGGAAAAUCAUCACCAUCAAAUUUUAGAGGUUGAUUUACUGCAUUUCUUUCCAUUUCAAAAGUGGAUCUACUAGACACUUACUAGCACUUGCUCUGGUACCAAAUAUUAGUAUAGAAAUGGAUCAAACACAGAUAGAACAAGUAAUUUCAAUGGUUUGGUGCAAAACCUCAACGAGGGAAAAAACACCAAGCAAGAUUAUUCCUUUAAUCUUCAAAAAGACUACAAGUCGUAAUUCUCACACAAUUACACAACUCAUACAAUGUUCUCUCUUCUUCUCACACAAGUAACUUAAUUCAAGUAGCUCUAUCAAGAGAAACUGAAUUAAAAUUCUGAGAUCUCACUCACUCAGCUAUACUAGUUCUCACACAACUAAUACAUACUGCAACUAAUUCUCAUACAAUUAGUUUUUAUGCAGUAGCAACUAAGACUCAAACACUCUUAGUUCUUCUCUCAAAAUUUAUCACACAUCAAGAUGAUAGUUUGAUGAACAGCUUGGUUCUUUAACACAACCAGUUUCUCAGCUUCAUUUAGACUUGGCUUCUCAGUAAGCUUUUGUUCUCAAAACUCAGAUGCAACUUGUAUGCAAGUAAGAAAAGAGAAACUCAGUCUAUCUUAGAUAUACACAAGUAGUUUGUAAGAUGACCAUGAACACACAAUCAACUCAAAGACAAUGCUUAACACAGUUUUUUCUCAAUCAUACCAAAAAGCUUAUCUUUCUAAACACAGUAGAAGCAAUUUAUAGAGUGUGAAACACUCCCACUUAACUGAUGCCUUUCAAUAACAAGAUCAAAUUUCGUUUAUGAAAAUAUGCAAUCAGUCCACCAACACUUUGCACUUUCCAAAACGCAUAUACUAGUUUCAUGCUAUAACAUAGCCAUUAGAUAAAACAUAAAUCAUUUUCUUAAUCACCUGAGAACAAUGAUUAUGCAUAUAGAAUCAGACAUGUUUAUGCAAGUACUGAUAUGGACAUUACUGAUAUGGAAAUAAGAUAUCCUGCAUAUUAUCAAUUAAUGUUCCUGAAAUGGAAGUCUUUAGAAAUAAGACUUUUCCAAAAUUUCAUCAUUCAAAAACUUAUCAACUUGAAAGCCAGAUCUACUUACCAUAUAUGAGAUGUUAAAAUCUCAUUACCUUGAUCUUUUGACAUGAUACCUUUGAUUAUGUCUUUGAUCUAGACUUUAUGAUUUUUCCUGGUAUGAAAUCUUCUUUCCUCUUUUCCUUCCUUCAUUAGGAGUCCUUGUGUUGAAUAGGAAUAGCCAAUAUACCAACAUUCUCCCCCUUUGGCAUCGCUAUUCAACACAAGAUCAAGACCUGUAAAACAGACACAAAACCAACAUAUAUAUACAGAACGGAAAGCAGGCUUGAAGAUUUUCGAAUCAGUUUCCAUCAUUUUCUCCAUCUUCAAGAUAAAAAUCAAAAGAAGACACAAAAUAAUAAAUGACUGCAUGCAUAGUUCAAAGAAAACACAAAAUAUGUCAAGUGCUUAGGCACUUUUACAAACCAGAAAUAAGAUUUGAUGUUCUAGUCAUCAAAAAUCAAAAAGCAGAAAACUUAAAAUAGACUCUACCAGGCUCUAAGCUGCUUCCGCCAUUGUCUAACACUUAUAAUAGAUUUAUAUUGUGAAAUAGUUUCUCUCUAACUCAAAAAGAAGUUGAGCUAAAAUAAGAUUGCACCUAAAACCUGUUCUAUUUUCAUUCAGCUGAUCAAGUGGAUCCGGUAGCCCACUUGUCUUUGGAAGAGGAGAGGAGCACGCGCAAUGAAGGCUAAAGAAAGAAACACACCAAUUCAAAAAGGACAAAAUAUUCUUCAAAAUAAGUUUGCAUUCUUCCAAAGGCGAGUGAUUUUUUUUUUCCUAACCUGACGAUGAUAGAUACGACGAGGAGAGUGUUGAAAUUUCCAGAUAUGAGAUUGCCGCAACAACAUCAGUGAUAUCGUCAUCUUCGGGGAAAGAAUCGAUCUGCAAUAAAAAUUGGGGGAGAUGGCUGAGUAGGUGAUGGUCGAGGGCUGAGUGAGAGAGAAGGGAGGGCUCGCGCAGGUGUUAAGGAGAGAGAGUUGAAGGGCUAAGGAGUUUGUUGGGAGAAAGAGGCUGGGGAUUUUUGGGAGAGACCGAUGAGAAAGCUGAGAGGCACGGUGGAAUGAACUAGAUUGUUAAAUGUGGGUUGAAUGGUUGAGAGAGAAAUAUGUUUUGGUUGCGCUGUUGAGGUUUUGGUUGGGUUGUAGUUUUUUUUUGUUUUGUUUAAGUGUUAGGGGAGAAUUUAAUUUUGGGCUGAAAUAUAGGGGAAGGUUUGAGCACAUCAAUAUUUCAGACAAGCGCCAAUUAAUUGGCAUUCAUUUCGACAAGUAAUCACAUGACGUAACAACUAUAAACGUGGUUUGAUGGCCAAAAUUUUAGGUUUCAAUAUUCCCUCCAUCACAUUUCGUGUUCCUUCUUACAAGUUUGGGGCUGAAUUUGGGGGAAUGUUGGAGGGAAAUAUUGGCGGACAUGGUUUUGCUGAAAAUACACACAAUUACACCAUAGUUUUUAUACGAAACGUCGUAUCACUCUUACAUGUUGGACACCUUACAACUUAGGAAGGUUGAUGCUCAAAUUUUUACACAUUCACACCACGAUUUCUAAAGAAACUGACAUCUAAAAAGUUAAAAAUUAGUCACACAACGGGUUCUCACUAUACAUCGUCUGAUAGACAUUGUCUGAUGCUGGUUUUUGUGGUAGUACUUGACAAAAUCGAUGAAGCUUGAUGGGGGGUGAGUACUCCUACUAAUACCCAAGAAAAAUUAUAAAAUGAACUAAGGACAUGGAAGGAGAGGAAGAAUGGAAUGAUGGUGAGGAGAAGGGAAGGGUGUGUGCGGCCGACUCCCAGAGAGAAAGAAUGAGAUAAUAGGUCAUGGCGUGGUUUAGCACCUUCAGCUUUGCAUUUGAGGGAAACAAGGUGCCAUGUGGCAGCUUGUCAUUGGUUGAGCUUGAGAGAAAUUGCACCUUGUGCACGUGAUGGAGAAGAUGGUCAAUUAAAUGAUCAAUUAAACAUCUGGGGCAUGUUUACUUACAUGGAAUGAAAUUGAAAAGUGAGGGAAUAAUUCUGGCAGAGGAGAAUUCCAGCGUUUACUUACACAUAAUAGAAUUGGAAUGGGUGUGGGUCCCACCUCCUAAUAAAGAAUUGAUUCCUUGACAACCCUGAAUUGAAAUACCAAGGGGGGAGGUGGGAUUAAGAAUGAUACCAUCAGGAAUGAACUUUUAUUCCGAAAAUAUCCUCUUUAAUUUUAUAUGCUAAUAAUAUUGAGGAAUUUGUUUAAGAUGCU
rnacentral:lncRNA from 1 species